rnacentral:lncRNA from 1 species
AAAUCAGCUGUUUUCCCGCAUUGUUUUUUUCAGUCAUUACCAAAUUUAGAAAAGCUUGUUGUUAGUGAAGCUUCCUUUGGUCAUAUAUUCCAUUUUGAAGGAUUUGAUGGUGAGAAAAAUCAUGCAUCGGCAAUCACUUCAUUGAAUGAAUUGGUGCUGUCUGAACUUCCCGAGCUAACACAUCUUUGGAAGGAAGAAUACCAACCCAUACCAGCUUUCUGUGAAUUGAGAACUCUUCAAGUGCGGGAUUGUGGCAAAUUAAAGAUUUUAGCGCCAUCAUCAGUGUCUUUUGAAAAUUUAACAAGUUUGGAAGUUACAAGAUGUCAUGGAUAUGUCAAUUUGAUAGCAUGCUCAACAGCUAAGAGCCUAGUGCAACUCACAAGAAUGACCAUAACUGAUUGUGAGAUGAUAGAGAGAAUCAUAGCGCGUGAGUCUGAGGAAGUGAAAGGAGACAUUGUUUUUACAGAACUGAAGGAUUUGCAACAAAGUUGUCUACCAAAUAUGGCUAGCUUCUGCUUAGGGGAUCACAACUUGGAAUUCCCUAUCUUUGAGAAAAUGAUUGUGAAAGGAUGCCCUAAGAUGAAGAUUUUCUGCCAAAGAGAUUUAAGCAUACCACAACUGCAAGAAGUGAUAUGGCCGAAAGAUGAAGAUGAAGAAAAAGGGUGGUGGGAAGGAGAUCUUAAAACUACUAUAACACGGAUGUUUGAAAAAAAGGUAUGCAUCAAUUGAAAAGAUUUCCCUAUUAUUAUUUAAUUUAUCGUUUCUUUGGCUCAAUAAUCUUUUUAAAACCAUGCACACUCCUAAUAACUUUUAACCUUACUUAAGUGUUUACUGCCAAGGUUUCUGAAUUACUUUGGACAGAGUAAUGUACUACAAAUGUCACAAAAUUCCUAUUGAUGUUUAUGAAGACAUUUUAAUGAAACAGAUGAAACCAAACAUAGACCUAUACGGUUUGGUGUCAUUUAAGUAAGAAACUUAUUUAAAUAAAAAUCAGUGUGGUUUCAAAUGUACAAACUUGUAUAAAGUAAAUCAUGUUUUUAUGGUUGCAAGUUAUGGUCGAUUGUUCCAAGUAAAGUGCAAAAUAUUUUUCUUUGGAGUAAUUAAUUGGGAAUUGAAUGGAUUAUGUUAGGACUUUUACAGGAAUUAGAAAAUCAAGUACUCAGGUUCCCACCUUGGGGGAUAGUUACAAUUUAGUUUGAAGCUAUUAUUUAUAUAUAUUUUUUUUGCUGUUAAAUGAAAAUAGUACUUUAGUUUUUUACCAUUUCAAUUGUUCUUGUAUUAUAACUGGCACAAUUCAUUGGAUUUCAUAGGUUGGAUAUCAUGGUUUAGAGCAUAUUAUACUCUCUGAGUCUUCUAAGUUGAUGGAGAUAUGGAGAAGUGAUCCUCAAGGAACUAUAGGCUUCAAAAGUCUUACACUUAUAGAAGUUUAUGAUUGUAGCAGCUUGAGGUGCCUAUUUACACUUUCCAUGGCUUUGGAGCUAGCACAACUCUGUGAGAUAAAAGUAAAAAAUUGCAUUGUGAUGGAACAUACCAUCACAGAUAACGGACCAAAUGAAGAAGUGUCAAAUAAGAUCGUGUUCCCUCUGCUAAGCUCCAUAACUCUUGAAUCUUGUGAGGACUUGCCAAGUUUCUAUCAAGGAAGUAAAAUAUUGGAAUGUCCAUCCUUGGAAAAAGUUGUUGCAUCCAAUUGUCGUCAGAUGUUUGCAUUUGCAUCUACAUUUUCAAGAGAGCAAAGAAUAGAAAUGAUUGAUGAUAUUAAUGGAGGAAAUACAACAAGGCUUGCCAAGGGAACUGCCCAUACUGCAUUUUUCAAUAACACGGUUAGUAUAUUUUGUUUGUGAAGAUAACCUUUGCUUUUUGUUUUUUUCUUCUUACAUUUUAAAAGGAUUUUAUUGUGAGAAAUUAAUCAUCAUGGUGUUUUUCUUUUCAAAUUAUUUAUUUUGCACCACUCAAAUAUGGUUUUUUUUCUCUCCACAUGCAUUCCUCUUUUGUUCAAUCUUAAUGGUCUUAGGCUUUUAGUCAGGAGAUCCUAGCUACCUAAACUUAAGCAAGCAUCAAAUAACUAAUGGCCAUCUAUCCAACAGCUUAUUUUCUCAUCUUAUUAGCACUAGAGAUAGUUUUCCAAUCUCCUAUUAACCUGACAAUUGUAGAGCUUCUCUAUUUAGUAAGCUCAUAAAAUUAGAUUGAAUAGACGUAUAAGAAUACAAGUCCAUUUUGUCUUUUCUUCUUGAAUGGAAAAUGCGUCUUACUUAAACUACAGAAUAGGCCAAGGAUAAUAACAAAGUAAAAAUCUUAGCCUAAUUUUUAGGUUUCUUAAACCACAGAUAAACAAGCACAAAAGAUAUGCUUUUCAUUGUUCAUCAAAAACCAAAGGCAGAGAGAUUAAUUAUCAGUGUGGUUUUAGGGAUUCAUUUUCAUUACAUAAUUGAUUAUCCUCAUAACUUAUUAUUUACAUACCUAUGCUCUAGAACCAUCUUUCACUUAUCUUUUCUUUCUUUAAUUAGACUGUGAACAGUUUUUGAUGCAAUGAGGAUUGUGUAUGUAGGUUGUGUGUCCAAAUUUGGAGAUUGUGAAACUAUCCUCAAUUGACGUUCAGAUGAUAUGGGAUGACCAGCUUCUUGAAAUGCCUUCUUAUGUUCAAAAUUUAAGGUUAUUGAUUGUAAAAGGCUGUAGAAACAUAGAAGAAAUUAUCUUUAUAGAAGGAUUAGCAGAAGAAGGCGUGAUGAGCCAACUAUUCCUUAAACUUGAUAUUUUGGAAUUGCAUGACCUUCCCAAACUCAUGAGAUUCUGCCGUGGAAGUUAUUUUGAAUUCCCCUUGUUAGGAACUCUUGUAAUAGAAAACUGUCCUGCUUUGAAGACCUUCAUCUCUAAUUCUACAUUGACAAACUAUACUCAUAUCUGUCAAACUGUGGAAGGAAACAACUUGGAUAUUGAUUUGGCUCCUCUCUUUAGUGAAAAGGUGAUUACUCCAUCUGCCUUUUUUUUAUCAUUCUUCUUUUUCGUUAUGUAUUCUCAAGUUUUAAAUGUUUGAUUCCCAUUUCCCUUUUACAUUUUUUUCUUCGAUAUUUAGUUGUUGAACAUGAAGAUCUAUGAUCUGCUAAAUUAUCAUUUGUAUAUGCAAUUAUUGACACAAUCAAUAAAUUUAGCAGGUGGCUUUCCCUCAAUUAGAGGAGUUGCAAAUCAUAAGUAUGGCAAAUUGCAGAAAGAUAUGGCCUGAUCAGCUCGUUGGUGAUUCAUUUUGCAAACUAAAUCAUCUCAAGGUGUUAAGAUGCAAUAGACUGUUGAAUAUUUUUCCACUUAGUAUGAAGGCCAGACUCCAGAAUCUAGACGAGUUCCAUGUAACACAUUGUUAUUCAUUAGAAGAAAUAUUUGAACCUGAAGUGCUCAAUGCCAGCGAAUUACAUGCAGUGACAGCCACUCAAUCCAUUGUGGAAGAAACAACCACUAAUAUUGUAUUUCCUAAACAAACAUAUCUAGAACUUCGAAUGUUGCCCAGAUUGAGGAGUUUCUACUCUAGGAUAGAUACAACGGAGUGGCCAUCAUUAAAGAAAAUGCAGAUAUAUGGAUGUGACAAAGUGGAGAUAUUUGCUUUAGAAAAUAUUCUGGGUUUUGGAGAAUCAACAAAUUGGCAACCUCUCUUUUGGGUCAAUGGGGUAUCAAAACCAAAAACUAUGUUAAACUUUUAAACAUUUAGCUUGCCCUUAAUGUUCAAUGUCAAAUUUAUAUGGUCUGUUGACUCAAAACUCAAUCAAAUCCAAAUGAAUUUGCCUUUUUUCUUAGAAUUCUCACAAGCAUGUCUUAGUAUUGCUCCAAUAUUGUAGCUUGCACAUAAGAUUUAUGUUAAAAUAACUAUAUUCACUCAAUUAUGGUGUUCUCAUCUUGCUUAACUCAGAUAUAUGCAUCAUAUGGCACUCUUAGAUUUGGUUUUAAGGGGUGUUUCGAAACAGAUAAAUUUGACGGGGCAAUUUCAUGUACAUGAAAUAAUGUUGGUAGGAGGCAAUUUAUCAAAAAAGCUGAAGAAUUUUUCUAUACAAUGAUAUUCACAAAACUCAGGCAAUCUAACAUUUGAAUUGUGUCUCCUCCAUUCUCAUGUUGCAUUCCCACCAUAAUAAACACAAAGUCUCACUAUUAGCUUCAAGAGCUCAGUUUGUUAGAAAAAAUGGAACAUUGAGAUCUUCUCGAUGGUUCACCUAACGUAACUUUGACUUCCUAUAUUGGGGUGGUGAGAAUGUUUUUACAUCAUCGAUUAGUUCAAAAUCUUUAACUUUAGUCUAACACAUUUGUUAAUUUCCAGGUUACAUUCCGUAAUCUGGAAGAAUUAACAUUGGAGUGCAAUGGCAUUAUGAAAAAGAUAUGGCACGGACAGCUUAGAACAGAGUGUGAUGAAGGGAAGAGAUGUAUUGUUUUUACUCGACUAAAGCAUUUGAAACUAAGCUGUCUACCAACACUAGCUAGCUUCUGCUUAGAGGAUCAAAUCUUUGAAUUCCCUACCCUAAAGAAAAUGAUUGUGAGAGAAUGCCCAAAGAUGAAGUUUUUUGCCAAGGAGAUGUAAGCACACCACAGCUGCAAAAAGUGGUAUGGACAAAAGAUGAUGAAGAAGAAAAAGGGAGGUGGGAAGGCGACCUUAAAACUACUAUAAAACAACUAAUUGAGGAAAGGGUAAGCAUCAAUUUAAAAGAUUUUCUUAUAUUGCUUUGGUUUCUUAUUUUCAUUUUUUCAGCUGCAUGCGUUUGCUUUUCCUCAUCACUCGAUACUUAUUAAAAGGUUGUUGGGAAUGAGGUGGGAUCCAAACCAUACUAUUAUAUAAUGUAGAGCUUCUAUCUAUUUUCCCUUUUAUAAUUGGAAAUUCACUACAAAAAUGGAUUUUUGGUGCCUUUCAAUGCGUAACUAAUUUCAAAAAUUUAUGAUUACAGAAUGUCGAAAUUUCUACGGACAAUUGAAUUUAGCCUUUAAUUGCUCAAGUUGGAAGAAGAAAAUAUUGUUUUUCUACUUGUGAGACUACAUGUUCCUACCAUUGAAGUGAGAUGGUAAGUGGAUCUUCUACUUCCAUAAUCUUUAUUUUCUUUGCCAUGGCCCACUUGUUUUAUUUUUUUUUUUUCAUUUUUGGAUUGUCAAUCGAAAGCAAGACAAGAAUUUGUUUAUUUAUUAAUUUGUAGAAGAAAUGACAGGGAACUAGUUUGUUUGAAAGUGAUUGAUCUAUAUACCCUUAUUAAAUUAAAAAAUUAUCAGUUAUUUUUUAUUAUCAAUCAAAUUAUUUUGUAGAAUUUGUGACAUUGAAAAUGUGAAAUUGUAAUUAGUAAUUUGGAAAAUGUUGAUGGCUAAUGCAUAGUUGAAAUGUACGAAUGUGUAGCAUGAAGCUGGUCAUUUUCUAAUUGGAUAUUUGCUGGGGGUUCUUCCAAGGUUAUAGAAAACCAAGCAUAGAGGAGUUGCACGAUGAUAGAUUUUGCAGCUGGAAGUGUAGACGAGUCUCUUCAAGUGAGUAAGAAUAUUAUUGUCAUUACUUUGCUUCAUUAGUCUAUACUGCCAUACAGAUCGAGAAAAAGAAAUAGCUUUGAUGCCCUAUAUAUUGUCAGUUUUAUGCUAUGAUGGUAAUACUAUAACUUGCUAAGACAACUUAUAAGUUACGUAUAUCUGCACAUCGCAGGCCAGUGUUCGCACCUAGCAUUUCGAACAAGGUAAGAAACUCUCUUUUUCUCCAGUUCCGUAUAAGCUUUGCAUAGCUCCCGCUACUUUGCAACUGCUGCGUUCUGCCACGGUCAUUGUUUGAGGCCUAGCCCUCCCUUGGCCUUGAUGGCUAGAUGCACGCCGCAUCAGCACCAUUAAGUUCCUUGGUUUGAGGGCUACCAGAAGAAUUGACCGAAAGCUCAUCCAAAAAACACAAUAGCAAUCAGAUAAUAGAUAUGACAUGUAGGAUCACAAGAGAUGCAGCAACUUCAGCUGGUACUAACAAAAACUAUUAACUAUAAUUUGAUAGUCUAACAGGAAUAAUUUGUUCAUCUGUUCUUUUGUAAUGCUGUUUCUUUUAAUAUCAUACAUAGGUGAUGAAUAAGGAAAAGAAAAAUUAUUAAAGAAUGAUAUGGUCUCCAAGUCUUAAUGGUAUAAAGUGCUCGGAAUUUGGUUUAUUUGCAGUAUUUUGACUUCCGAAAGAUGACUGAAGGUGAGGGAAGAAACGUGGGAAGAGAGGAAUAACAGGCAUGCUAACCUUGGCAUUCCAUACAACUCAAGCUUUGUUCCAGGUCAGAGCCUCAUAGGUUCAGUCAAACAAAGUGCAUUCUACUAUCCUAAGACACACAAGCACACCGCUUGCAAUGGUUUUAGUAAUCAUAUGAAGAUGCUGUUUUUGGGAAGGAAAUCUAUCUGGUCCCCAAGCUGCAUCCCUCAAACUGCUGUCCUUAGUGAGAGUGGCCUGAGCAAUUGUGGAGCGGUUUCCACAAGUAACAAUUUCCUCAAUUUAUUGCCAAUGAUGUAUCUAGCAUUUGAAUCAAGUAAUGUGCUGUCUUCUGUACCUCAUGUACAAAUCGCAUGUAAGUUGGCUAUAAUUAGAACCAUUUAGUUCAACUUGAACUCUUCGCUAGUUCUGUUUUUAACAGGAUCCCAUGAGCAAUACAAGAAGAUUGUGCAGUCUGCAAAAUCUAAUCUUGGUCCAUUCUUGCUCAACUACUGGAGGAAUUUUACACAAAAACCUUGGUUUUUGAUACAAUUUUUGUACCACACAAACUUGCGAACAAACCAAAGCAUAUUAAACCCUCAAAACAAUGAGAGAAAGAAGAGAAAAAAAGAACCAUGUAAAUUCAAUAUAAUUAGGUUGAUACACAACUGCUUUGCUCAAAAAGAUAACACAAAAGAGUUCAAAGCCCAAAAUCGAAGAUCCCUAAAAUUAAAUUAUCCUAUAUGAUAACAUAAAUGGUUAUUUCACUUUCUAGUUUCUUUGAAUGUGCUAUGUCUGAAGUUGCAUUUUCCAUGUGUAACUUAAAAUACCAAAAUGUAAUCUUUUGUUUGUAAGGUCCAUCAGCCAAGACUCCUCUGUUUCAAAAACUCCCAAAGGAUUGCAAAUUUUCCAUACGGACAUGGUUUGAUCUCUCACCCUUCUUACACCAUCCUUUUGCUGAUAAUCUGACAUUUGAUUUUAGUUUGAACUUUCUGCAUAUUGGACCCCAAGCCCAAGGCCUUGCUGUUUAACAUCCCAACUCAAGAACUGAAAGCAAAUAAAACUUAAAAAAAAAUACAAAAAAAUAUAACAAAAAUAGACCAAAUGCUAGCAAAACAGAGAAAAAGAGAUAUUUAUUUCGCGAUUCCUGUAAGCAAAAGUGAGAAAAGGCUAAAUUCUUCAAUUAUAUCAGAAACAAUCCAUCCAUCCAUGAUAAAAUGCCAAGCAGACAAAUAUUUGUCACUCUUAUUUUUAAUAAGAAAUAAAAUAAUGUCCAUUUUAGGACAUGACCCUUAUAGUUAUGGAGUGGAUGACAAAUAACCAAUGAUAUCAAGUUGAUAAUCCCACUCCCCAAAUAUGAGAAAUUCUUUUCUUCUUGAUUUCCUUAAUCAUAAAAGAUAUUAUGUUUAAAAAUUAAAUAAAUUUCAAAUGAAAUAAAUAAAAACAAUCUUCAAACCUUAAACCUUUGAAGAUUCUUUAUGUUUUAUCCUGAGCUUUCUGGAGUGAUUUUAGAGCUUCAAUUUUUUGAAAAACUCUUUGAAUCUUUCAUUUUUUUAAUGUAAAAGAACAUUAAUAAAAUUGUUUAAGAUUAUACAAAUAAAAUAUGAGGGUUUGAUUACUUACCAGAUUAUAUAAAAAUUGAAGGCUUGAAGCAGUGUACUAUAGCGGGAUUCUAAAGGCAAGACAAAGAAAAGGUCACAUAUUCUUAAUGUCCAAAAUCAGAUACUUUACUUGUGCAAAUAAUCAAAGUUUGAUUCUACAUUGUAACAUUUAAGUUACUGUUAUUUAUUUCAGUUUCCUGUCUUUGGAUGAUUUCUUUUGCCUUGUCUUCUUUGCCACCCAUUGCAUCUUUUUCUUUUUCUCCAUACCAAAACAUCAUCAUUCUGUUUGUUUUCUUUCUGAAAGCAAGGAAAAUUAAAAGAUCGUUCAUUCCAAGAUUCCUAUAAGAGAAUGUGACAAUAUGUGACAAAGGCAAGUCUUUCUUUAUAAUUGAGAUUGACAAGUUAUUCAGCUUGCUUAAUUCAAUCUGAGGAACCAAUCCUUUAUUUAUUCUGCUUAUUCUAAAAAAUAAAAUAAAAAAAGAUGAAAAAAUUAGAAACAAAAGAUGUUGGACUUUAAUCCAAAACUAACACCCAUUUCUAUUAUCAAUAAAAAAACAAGAGAGCAAAUGGGACCAAACUUUUAUAUUGAAGCUUCCAAUCUUUUCCUCUUGCUUAAUUUAAUGGAAAACAUACAAAAAAUGCAUUGCUAAUUACGUUUUUCUCUUUAAUUACAAUAGUAAAUUUAUCUUCUUAAAAAUGUUAAUUCACAGGAGUAUUUUAAAAUCUUUUAUAAAAAUAUUAAAUCAAGAGUUGUUGAGACAUCAUAUUCUUUUCGUUAUUGCAGUUGCACCAAAUUUGUUUAAUAAAAUCUUAUGCCUUGUGCUUAUUAUACAUAAAAGAAAUAAAGAUAAGUCUUCCUUUAUACGUGAAUGACCAUGCGAAGCUUCCUAGGUUUAUAAAACCCAGACAGACACAACGUUUCUGCUCAACUCAUCCCUAUUAUCUUACUUUAGCGUCCUUUGCUCUUCCAUUUCUCAAAACCCUUUUAUUUUCUUGCUUUGAUCUUCAAUCAUCUUUUCCUUUUCCUUUGUUUUUGGCUUGUUCCGUUGUUUUUUUCUCAUCUCUUUUUCCCCCACCUCAAAAUGUCGGCUUCUCACAGUCCUCUACUUUCCACCCAAUAAACCAGAAACUUUCACUUUGAUUCUUAGUUGCCUCUUUCUUCAUAGCUACAGUUAUUGGAGCAAGCCACCAUUUCCAGUUUCUCACUAUUCUGAUCAUUUUCCUUGUUCACAUAGUUUUUGAUACACUAGUUUUUGCUAUUUUUCAUUUUUUGGUCUGCUCGAUCCCCUGUUUUCUCUUGUUUUUUUUUUUUUUUUGCCAUUUGCUUUACUUGUCUGUGGAAUUAAAAAAAAAAUGGAAGAUGUUGGUACUGGCGCUGCUGCUAACGUUUCUUCGGAGAUUGCGAGAGGCAUCUUCCAAGAAAUUAAACGUCAUAUCAGAUAUAUAAUCAUUUUCAUCAAAUGUGAUCUUACAGAAAAUCAUUAAAUACUACAAAAUCAAUCUUUUAUUUUAAUUUUUAUAGGAAAUUGCAUAUAUCAAUGACUAGCUAGUUGAAGUUAUAUAAAUUAAGUGGUAUGUAAUACUUUAAAAAAAAUCACUUGCAUGUUUUGAUUUCUCACUAUUACAUAUUGACAUUUAGUCACUUAACUUUUCGAAAACUUCUAUUUUUAGUCAUUCAAUAUUAAAAAAUAAUGAUUUGGUCACCAAUAUUUGUAAAAAUUCUUUUUUUGACCUCUUAAUAAUUAGAAAAAAAAAGGUCAAUCAUUAGCUUUUUUAGAGAAAAAAGGGUCAACCAUUGGCUUCUAACAACUUAGUGAUAAACAUGAACUUUCACAAAGUUUGAUAACCAAAUUGUGAUUGUUUAAAAUUAAAUGACCAAAAUAAAAACUUAUGAAAAAUUAAUUGACUAAAUGUGUAAUUAAAAAUGGAGUACAUAUGCCUUGUUUGAGUUCAACCCCUACUUUUAAUUGUGAAAACUGGAAAUGAUUGUAACUAAAAAGAAGUACCAAUUGCUUUUAACCCUAGUAAAUCUGCUGUUUCCCCAAUUGCUUUCCUUGAAAGAUUUGACAAUCUAGAAAAGCUUGUGGUGAUUUCUUAUGAAUUCAAAGCGCUAUCCUGCAAUGAAAGAGAUAGUGGUACGGAGAUAUAUGCUGGGACACUGCCGAUGAUCAGAAGCUUAAAAUUGGUUGGUCUUCAUAAUCUCAAACAAUUAUGGAGGCAAGACGUGCAAGUAGAACGCAUUCUCCCUAAAGUGGAAACUCUUAAAGUCGGGAGUUGUGACAAACUGAUUAGUUUAGGAUCAUCCUCAGCAUCGUUUCAAAUUCUCUUGACAUUGGAUGCGUGGAGCUGCAAAGCAAUGAUAUGCUUAGAUACACCUUUAGCAGUCCAAAGUCUAGCCCAACUUAAAAAAUUGAGGAUAAGAGAGUGCAUUUCAAUGAAAGAAAUAGUUGGAAACGAGGGUGAUGAAGCUACAUACGACAUUGUUUUCAGCAACUUGAAAAGUUUGGAACUUUGUGGUUUACCACAAAUUAAAAGUUUUUGUUCAGGCAACCACACAUUUGGGCUUCCGUCUUUAGCAGAAGUAAUUGUGAGCAAAUGUCCUGAAAUGGAGAUUUUCUGUAAGAGAGUUUUAAAUGCGCCAAUGCUGCAAAGAGUACAAGAAACAGCUGAAGAUGAUAAGGGACAUUGGGAUGGUGACCUUAACAGUAUUGUCCAACGAUUGUACGUCGAAAAGGUACCUAUGUAAGAAAUUAUUUAUCUAACGAAUUAGUUGUCUUUGUAAGGCUCUUUUUUGUUGCUGGAUGCUUUUGUUUGCUUAAUUUAACUUUAGAUUUUCUAUUUUUAUUUCCUUUUUGUUUGUGGGUACUUUUGAACUUAAUCUUUCUUUCUUUGAUGGAUUUUGUAGGUUGGAUACUAAGGAGUUGUGUAUGUAGUACUUUCCAAAUUUUCUAAGUCAAUAGAAAUAGGGAAGGAUAAUCUUGAAGGAGUUUUAGAUUUCAUAAAUCUUAAAUAUUUGGAAAUUUACAAAUGUAAGAGCUUCAACUCCAUUUUUACUGUUUUCAUGGCUUUGGAGCUUCAGCAAUUGAAAGAGAUAAAAGUAAAAAAUUGCCAUAUGAUGGAGCAUAUUAUCACAAAUGAAGAAACAGAGGAAGCGGCAAUGAAUUUAAUGGUGUUACCCAGGCUUAAGGUUUUAACUCUUGAGUCAUGUUCCAAUCUGAGGAGCUUUUGUUUGGGAAGAAUUACAACGGAUGUUAGUCCAAUUGUUAACAUUAUUAAAAUUUUUCUGUUAUUUAUGUUGAUAUGGUAUUUUUUUUAUUGAUGUGGCAUGAAAUAUGAUGAUCUGUUACUGAUGACAUGAUAUGUUUUUUAUUUAUUUCACAUCAUUCUAUUUAAUGUUUUAAAUUAUGGAAUACAGAAAUUCAAUUUUUUUUAUUCUCACAACACUAUUUUUCUUAAUCCUAGAAACCUAUUUGUAUUUUUUAUUUGUUUCUUAUGCAAUUGUGUUUAAAACCAUUAGUUCACGUUGGAUAAUUCAAUGUCCACAUUUGUAAAAUCCAUUUUAGUACUUGGUCAUGUCAUAUUGACACUGCUAUUACAUCAUUCUUGAAAUACCACAUCAUUAGUGUGUCAUCGUAUUCAAUAUCACAUCCAAUGGGAAAUUGUGUUCUCUAAGGAUUUCUUUUUUUUGUGAAUUACACGACUUAUUGAAUUAAACAACAAUAAUAAAAAUUAUCUAAUUCUUGAAAUUAACAUAAAAGUCUCCAUCUAAGCUUGAUUCAACCUGAAAGAAAUAGUAAGGCUGGACCUAGUUAAAUUUAUAAAACUCAUAUAUAUUCACCAUUGACAUUAUAUUUCCCCUUCUGAGUUCUAAUUAACAUAUUUGAACUUUUCUGGUCUCUUUUAACUUUUUUUUUUAAAAAAAGUGAGUUUUAUUUUUUUAUAAUAUUAUGACAAGUCUUUAACUCAAUUGACAGAAUACUUUUGUGACAUAGAGUACUUGGUGGGGGAAUUUAAUUGUACAUUUACAAAAGUUAUACUGUGCAUCAAGCAGAGACAGCAAGCAGAAUCAGUAAAGGAUCCUAACAACGUCAACCAAAAAACCAAAAGGAUCCUACAAGGAAAAGCAGCGAUAAAGCCUAUAAGAAUCAGAUCUCUCGACAAUACCCUGUGUAGGGCAAAACCUAAGAGGACCUCCUAAAAAGUCUCAGGAGCACGGGGCUGAGACAAAGUCUCCCAUCCAAUGAGAAAUAAGCAGAAGACUGAGCAGACUCUGGAAAUGCUUUUCCAAUUUCCAUGUGCACUCCUUUGUAAUUAUUGGUGAGAGUGAGACAAACACUUCCACGUUUCCCCAAUUUGAAUUCCAAUGGCAUCUCCUACCUAACACUUUCUUGUCUUUCUUAAUUUCUUUUCCUUUAUUCUAGUUUAUUUAUUUAUUUUUGGAUAUUAGUUGUGAUGGCUUAAAAAUAAAUUACCAACGUAUGGGGAUAGUCUUUCUUCGUAAUUGCCUGUAGCUUUUAAUCUAUUCAUCUUGAUAAUGAAUGAUAUUAACUUAUUUGAUGAUGACGUGACAUAUUUAUUUAACAUGAUAAUAUGAUCACGUGACAUUUUAUAUUUUUCAUGUCAAUAUUACAUCAGUAUCAUGUGUCAUAAAAAUGAUAUAACAUUUUAUAUUAUAGUAACAUUUUAUAGCUUUUAAGUGACGUUUCAUUGGAUGGGAAAUUUUGCUUCCCUCAGAUUGUUUAUCUUAGCUCUUGGUUUUUAGGAGGUCCUCUUGCGUUUUGGCCUAAAACAGGGUAUUGUCGAGAGAUUUGCUUCUCAUAGGCCUUUUCUUGUGAAUUCCUUGGCAGGAUCCUUUGUUUUUGGUUGACCUUGUUAGUAUCCUUAACUGAUUUUGCUUGCUGACUUUGUUUGAUGUGCAGUGUAACUUUUGCAAUUGUACAGUAAAUCUACCCUCAGUAGCUGUUUUAUGCCACAAAAGUCUUCUACCAACAAGUUAAAGACUUGUCAUCGCAUUUUCAGUAAUGGAAGAAUAAAAUUUGCUUUUCAAAAAAAAAAAUUAAUGAUAAUUAAUCAAUCAUUAAUCAUAAGAACUUAGUUGAUACAAAAUAAAAUAUAAAAGUUUGAUUGAAUGUAAUAGAAAAAUAAAAAUUUAUUUGAAUUUUCAUAAAUAAUUUUGGAGUUUGAUUUUUUUUUAUUAAACUAGUUGCUUAAGUUAACAGGUUAUAAUUUUUAUUCGGGAUGAAAGGAUUUUUUGUAUUUUUUCCUGUGUUCAUAUAUAUCUGAUUUGUGAAGUUAGUUCAAAUUAGUUGGGCGAAGUUGGGGUUCCCAUAACUUAAUCAAAACUGCUCUCUCCAUUGCAGCCUGACGUUAUAUAAUUUUUUCAUAGAAUUUUGCUCUCCUAUAUAUGUAAAAAAUUUCCACUUCCUUCAUUUUGCCUUGAUGAUCUUCGUUGCAAAUGUCAAAGCUAAUAAUUAAAGCAUCUCAACAUGCCAAUCAUUUCAUUUUGUUGAUUUAUUUCUUAGUUAGGUUUUUACCAAAGUCACAAAUAUUUCAACAUAUAUUUCCUUUUACCAAAGGCGCGCACAUUGGGUAAGAGCACUUCACUCCAAAAUCACUUUGUUAAAAUCAAUCUUAUGGUUUUUUUUCUUUUUCUUGCCUUUAUUUUUUCCUCACCAACAUCUUUGGAUUUGGCGAGUCUUUAAUUGCCAAUUUAAUCCUUUAUGCGUGACAGAAACGGUCUAAGAAAUUUGUAGCAUCUGUGUCUGCAAAAGCAAGGGUUGGUUGGAUUUGAAUGCCCCAUCAAAGUGUGAGUUUCCAACAAUUUCAUAGACUUCUUACCACCUAAAAUUCUUUUUCUUCUAGUAAAUAUUUGGGCAGUGCGUGAAGGUUUAAAUGGCCAAUCCAAGCCUCAGGUUUUAACCUUAAUUUCAUUAUAUAUUAAUUUGUUUAUCUUGGUAAUGAAUGAUAUACGAGUUAAUGAAUUAUUCAAUACAACCUGUACAAGAGUUUUUCGAUUCUAGUUGUUGUUGGAAUGAUAGUGAUUAAAAUUUUAAAAAAUAAUUUUACUAAACCUAAUCAAUUAAUUAAUGUUAGAUUUGUGGAGCAACAACCUAAUCAAUUCUUGUCUUUCUACAAGUUCUCUUUCGUUCUAGUAUUAAUUACUUAUUUGUGUAACUGUUACCGCGGCUAAAAGAGCAUAAUUAAUAGAAAAUUGAUUGAAUGACAUUACUUUCUUAUUAAUUUAUAGUUAUUUGUAGCUUUCAAUGUCUGUCUUGAUAACACGCACAAUAUUUUUCAAAUAUGGUAGGUGCCGUAAUGAUUCUGUAUAAAAAUAUAUUUAAAAAAUAAAAAAAGAAACUAUAUAUAUUUGUCUUGUCUGCCACUAUUCUUUUUCUUUCUUCUGUUAAUCCAUUUUUUAAUUUAUAUUGGCAUGGCAUAGUGUUUUAAUAAUGAAAACUUAUGACAAGUCUUUCUUUAUAAUUGCCGAUUGUCAUGACCCGUGGGUUCAUGGGUAUUUAAUUAAAUUUUAAGUCUUUCUUUAUAAUUGAUGAUCGGAAAAAUUUGAAACUUAAUGUGAAAUUAUGAUUAAGAAAAUGUGAGUGAAGUACAGCUCAAUUCAUCCAUUGAUUAUUGUUUGACAAGUUGCAUUAUUGUAUUAACCAUUAAUUUUGUUAGAGUGGUUAAUGACAUCUACUUUAACAAUAAGGGAGAAACUUUAAGUAUCCAUAUGAAUUUAGUCUAAUAUUAUAUUGAACUUUGGAUAUCACUAUGAAUUUAAUCUAAUUUUAUAUUGAAACUUUAGUAAAGCUAUCUCAUUUUUAUACGUUUAAAAGAAAAAAAAAGGGUGCAAGUGGCAUGAGCAAGUGACUAGCAAUAGUAUAUGUUUUAGAUGAAAAAGUUCAUUAAAGAAAAGAGAACGCUUGCUCUGUUGAAAUGCCCACCCCAUUCCUCCUUUGGCAUAAAAAGCAAAGGUAACCAAUCUAAGAGAGGAGGUGAGACAAAUAUUAACAUUAUUCUUUCAUGGCAUUAAUUUGCACACUGACUUUGCAGAAUGAAAUUUCAGAGAAAUUACCCUGACCAUAUUUUAUUGAUACAGGACGCAACACAAUUAACCAACAUGAGCUGCAGGUCUUGUACAAAGAAUAAAGGAACCAUCAACAAUCAUAGAGACAGACUUUGCCUUGCCUUUUUUCCGUUUAGUUUGGCAUGUUCAAGAGGGAGAGCGAAUUAAGCAUUAGACUUGGAGAGUUUUAAGGCUCCAUAUAUAGUGGUUGAAAUAACAGACAUUUUGAUCAACUUUCCAUAGUUGGAAAAGCAUAAUUGGAGCAUAUUUUGAAAAGUAAAAGAAUCAUAUAUAUAUAGCAAUUGAUAAUGAUAAAUAAUUUUAUAUAAUUUGUAAAUCAAGAAAAAAAAAGACUUAUAAUAGUCUUUUAAGAAAGUUGUGUUCAACCAUAUAUAUUUUUUUAGAUUCAAAUUCAUCAAUUCUUAAUUAUGUACUGCAAAAUAUCCAUUUCUUUAGGAUUGAGUCUUAGACGUUUUGAUUUACAUUAUUUUUGUUUCUAAGUUGAAGUGUUGAGACUUACUAACUCAAAUAUAAGAGAAUCAUUUGGACGAUUUGUAUAUUUUCUUUUAAAAAAGUUGUUAAUUGUUUUCAACAUACUCAUACUUAGUCAAACCUUAAAAAAAAUUAAUGCAAUCAAUAUCUAAUAUUCUUAUGGUAUUUCUAUUUAAACUUAUAAUACCAAAUGUAAAACUAUAAUGCAUAAAAUAUAAAAAUUAAAUAUGAUAUACAAAAUUAAUAAUUUUUUUUUAUAUAAUCAAGAUAUUUUAAAGACUAUAAAUUCAAGAUAAUUUCCUUUGAAUUAAAUAAAAAACAUAAAACACAUAAAAAUAUACUCAAGAUAAACUCCUUUUAUAUAAUUAGGAUUAAUAAAAAAUGAUAUAUUAAUAGAAUUUUAAGUAACAGUGCAACACUAAAACUUAUAUUUGAGAACUAUAAAAUAAUUUAUUAAUUUUUAAAAAUUAAAAUUAUAAAAAUAAAAUACACAUAAUAGAAAAAAGAAGAACAUGAAAAGUAGAAGAUGGAAUUCAUAUAUGAUAUAACAAAAAAGAAAAAAAAAUAUGGUUGAUGGUUUGUAGAAAUUUGAAAAAGAAAAUCUACAAAAAUUUAGAAUAGAUGAGCAAAUAGAAUAGAAAUGAAAAAAAUAAAUAAUAAUAAUAAUAAUUGAAAGAAGAAAAUGGAAAAACACUUUAAAAUUGAGUGAGGCAUGUGAGUUUAUUUUGUUAUUCUUUAUUUAUAUUAAUUAUUAAAUAAAAAAUUAUUUUGAGGGGGUCAAUAAGAGAAUAUAUAAAAAAUUUGAAAAAAUUUAUAUGAUAUAGAAAAAAUUUUAAAAAUUUGGGGGGUGCUGUGUAAAGGAGAAUAUAUAUACUUCCACAUAGGACCAACUGGCAAAGCAUGAUUGAUUUGUAUUAGUAAAUGUUUAGAGAUUGACGAUUAGCCUUGAUCUGCCAUAAUUCAUUGAAUCACGUUGGAAUGGGGGUGGCUCUGAUUUUGCCCGCCUUUUUCGGUCCAAUGGAAUCCUAAAAUUAUUAAAUAAAGGAGGGAAUGGAAGAGCAAGCCAAAAUGAGGAUGAGUCUUUUGGUGAAAAACCGACAACAGCUUAUUACUAUAUAAUUUUCUUCUUUCCUCUCUUCUAUAAUCCAUGAUGGGCAAUGAAAACUGAGGGUGACUCUUUUUUUUUUUUUGUUUUAAAUGAAAUGGCAAAGGCAAGCGGUUCUUUAUAAUUUUGGGUGAGUCUUUAUAAUUUAAAACAGAUUUUAUUUGUUUAAUAAAAUCUCAUGGCAUGUGCUUAUUAUAUCUUUUUAUAAUUAUUCUUAUAAAAAGAUAUAAUAAAGACUUAAGGUGAGUCUUUGUUUAUACUUGAAUGGCCGUGAAAAGCUGCGUGCCAGUUUCAUAAAACCCAGUCAGACACAACGUUUCUGCUCAACUCAUCCCUAUUACCUUACUUAAGCGUCCUUUGCUCUUCCAGUUCUCAAAACCCUUUUAUUUUCUUGCUUUGAUCUUCGAUCCUCUUUUCCUUUUCCUUUGUUUUUGGCUUGGUCCGUUGUUUCUUUCUCAUCUCUUUUCCCUUCACCUCAAAGCGUCGGCUUCUCACAUUCCUCUACUUUCCACCCAAUAAACCAGAAACCUUUCACUUUGAUUCUUAGUUGCCUCUUUCUUCAUAGCUACAGCUAAUGGAGAAAACCACCGUUUCCAAUUUCUUACCAUUCUGAUUAUUUGCCUUGCUCAUAUCGUUUAUUGAUAUAUUCGUCUUGCUGUUUUCAUUUUUGGGUCUUCUCGAUCCCCUGUUGUCUACUUCUUCUGUCAUUUGCUUUGCUUUUCUGUUGAAUUAAAAAAAUGGAACCUAUUCUUACUGGUGCUGCUGCCAACCUUUCUUCGGAAGCUGCAAAAGGCAUCUUCCAAGAUAUGAAACGUCAUAUCAGAUAUGUAAUCAUUUACAAGAAAAAUGUCGACAAGUUUGAGGAGAAACUUAAGAUGUUGAUAGCAAAAAGAGCAAGUCUGCAGCAAGAGGUUGAUGCUGCAGACAGGAACGGGGAGAAGAUAAAAGCGGACGUCGAGCUUUGGCGAUUUACGGUGGACGAGGUAAUCACUGAGGAGGGGAAGAAGGUGAAGGAUCUUGAAGACAAAGCAAAGAACAAGUGCUUCAUUGGCUUGUGUCCCAAUAUCAAGUCUCGCAACCAGCUUAGCAGGAAAGCAGAAGAAGGUGUCGCGACUAUUGACGACCUUAUCCAACAGUGUCAAUUUAACGGAGUGGGAUACCGUGAUGUUCCAGAAGCUAUAUUGGACGCAUCUCCUAAAGACUUUGAGACCUUUAAAUCAAGAGAAAAGGUUUUCAACGAUAUCAUGGAGGCUAUAAAAGACGCUACUAUCAACAUGAUAGGGUUGUAUGGGUUGGCUGGUAUGGGCAAAACAUCACUAGUCAAAGAAGUUGCCAGACAAGUCCAAGAGCUUAAGUUAUUUGAUUCGGUGGUUACCGUAAUUAUGACUCAGACGCCGGACAUUCAGAACAUUCAAGAUCAAAUUGCAGAGUUGUUGGGUCUAAGACUUGAAGACAAGAGUACGGUUGUAAGAGCACGAAGAUUGUGCGAAAGGUUGAAGAAAGAGAAGAAGGUUCUUGUUGUUUUAGAUAAUGUUUGGAAGAAAUUGGACCUCGAGGAAGUUGGAAUUCCAUUUGGAAACCAACACAAGGGAUGCAAGAUAUUGUUGACAUCAAGAGAUCAAAAUGUUCUCUCCAAUGGGAUGGAUGCUGAGAAAACUUUUUCAAUUGGUGAUUUAGACGAUGAAGAAGCUUGGGACUUGUUUAGGAAGAUGGCUGGGGACUGUGUUGAAAGUGCUGAGUUGCGAUCUAUAGCAAUUGAGGUAGCCCAAAGGUGUGCAAGAUUACCGCUGGCCAUUGCAACAGUUGCAAGGGCAUUGAGAAAUAAAAGUUCAUUUGCUUGGGAGGAUGCUUUACGGCAACUACAGAGGCCUUCCUCAAACAACUUCACUGGGAUAUCCGCUGACGUAUAUUCAGCUAUAGAGUUGAGUUACAAUCAUUUAGAAAGUGAUGAACUUAAACAAGCUUUCCUACUUUGCAGUCUACUGCGCCAUGAACCAAUUGAUUACUUGUUGCAAUGUGCCAUUGGUUUGGGUUUAAUUAAUGGUGUCAGCACCAUGAAGGAAGCACGAAAUAGGUUGUUAACAAUGGUGAGUAACCUCAAAGCCUCUUGUUUGUUACUUGAUAGUAACCUCAAUGAUCGUUACUUUGAUAUGCAUGAUCUUGUUUAUGAUGUCGCCAUGUCAAUCGCUUCUAAGGACAAUCAUGUCUUUGCAUUAACCAAGGAGGAUGUUCUGAAAGAUUGGCCAGAUGGAGAGAUAAUGAAAAAGUGGAACAAGAUUUUUUUGCGAUAUCCUAGAAUAAUUGGAGAGCUUCCUGACGAGUUGAAUUGUCCAGAGGUUGUUCUUGUCACUUUGGCUAGCAAAGAUCUUUCCCUCAAAAUGCCACCUACCUUCUUUAACAAAACAAAAAAUCUUAAAGUCUUGGAUUUUAGUGGUAUGCAAUUUUCUUCUUUACCUUUGUCAACUUGUCUCUUAACAAGCCUUCAUGCAUUGUUCCUAAAUCAAUGUGAAUUGAGAGAUAUAAGCAUUAUUGGAGAGCUUAAGAAUUUAGAAAUUCUUAACCUUUCAUAUUCUGAUAUCAAAAUUCUGCCUAAAGAAAUUGGGCGACUGGUUAAAUUAAAAGUGUUAGAUUUAGGUCAUUGUACUAAACUCAAAAUAAUUUCACCAGGUGUCUUAUCAAGCUUGUCUAGAUUAGAAGAAUUAUAUAUGGGUGGCACCUUUAUUCAAUGGGAAGUAGGGGGACAUGCCAACCAACGAGGCAAUAUUGCUAGUCUUGCUGAAUUGAAUACUCUGUCUUGUUUGACCACUUUAGAAGUCCAUAUUCCUGAUGCCGAGGCCAUGUCAAGGGGCUUGCUCUUUAAAGAGUUGCAAAAGUUGGAAAGAUACAAGAUUUUCAUAGGAAAGGAAUGGGAAUGGUUUGGCGAGUAUGAGUAUUCAAGGACUCUGAAACUCAAGUUAAGUACAAGUAUUGAUCAUUUGGAUCAUGGAAUUAAGUUGCUACUGGAGAAAACUGAAGCUUUAUAUUUAGAUGACCUUAAAAGUGUCACGAUUGCAAUGCAAGGGUUCAAAGAUAAAGAAAGCUUAUCGCAUUUGAAGAAUCUCCAUAUCCAAAAUGAUUCAGUGAUCAAAUAUAUCAUUAAUGAUAAUGGUGUAGUUGAUAAAAAUGAAUUUCUUCAAUUACAAUCUUUGACACUUCAAAAUCUACCUCAGCUCAUUAGCUUUUGUUCUGAAGACGAAAACGGCUCUACCUCCAGGGUUCAACAUGAGUUGCCUCUAUUUAGUGAAAAGGUAUUUAUUACUUUUCAUUUUUCACUCAUUUCAAGGCAUAUGUUGAUCUCAUUUAUUAUUUUCUUAACAUUUUCUUCUUAUGAACAGCAAAUGUUCUCAAAUGUUAAAUUAGUAUUAUUUUAGAAUCUCCCUCCUUCGUUUUUUUGCUAAUUGACCUUGAAUAUCUAUUAUGAGUCAAAACAUAUAUUGAAUAUCUAUUUUAAAUUUGAGACUCUAUAAUCCGUUUAUAAAAAUUGUCUAGUGCUAUACUGAUCCUUUGUUAAAGUUAUAUGUAAGAGCCUAGCAUAAUUGUAAGACGAGUAAGGGCAUAGUUAGAGAUCUGAGAUUUUGUUCAUUCAGAAAAAUAAAUUUCAAUAUGUAUCUACAUUCUAUAAAAAAACCGAUGCCUUCUCCUCCCUUUAAAAAAAAACAGGUUGCCACAUUGUGUGAAAGCCAUUUCCUUUUGUUUCCAUUUUUCGCUACCAUCCACGGUUGAUAAACCCAACCAUGUCAUAGUGCCCAUUUGAAAGCCUGAACAUCAACAAAGCCCACUUCAGUGAUUGUUUAAUACAUUAGAAAUCACUUCUCCUUAAAAUGGAAGUAAUUAUUUCUCCUGAACUUAGUUGCCAUUGAAUUGGCAAACCCAUUCCUUCCUUUUUAAUCAUAGAAUGUUAUGUAAUUAUGCUAAAUAAGAUAGUCUUUCUUCUGUUGUCUUUUUCUUUUUCUUUUUCAUGCUAUUUUUAAUCUAGAUUAAUUACAUGUCUGCAGUCGUUGUUCCCUUGCUUGGAGAAUUUGCGGUUGUCCUCAAUUAGUGUUGAAAGGAUAUGGCAUGAUUCUUUCUGCAAUCAUGAGAAUUUGACAAGAUUGAUCAUCCAGGGUUGUGGCAACUUAAAACGUUUAUUAUCAUUUUCUAUGUCUAGGAAGCUAGUGCAUCUCAAAUGCUUUGAGAUAAUUGGAUGCAAGUGCUUAAGAGAGAUAAUUUUUGCAGAGGAUACAGAGGAAGAAAGCAAAGAUACGAUUUUAUUUCCUCAAUUAAACUCUCUAAAGUUACAGGAUCUUCAGCAUCUCAUUGGAUUUUGGUUAGAACGUCGGAAUAUUGAAUUUCCAUCCUUGAAGUCACUAAAGAUAGAGAAAUGCCCGGAACUCAAGGGGUUCAUAUACGAAUCUACAAUGGAAGGGAGCCAAAGUUUUUCUAGUCAAGUUCUCUUUGACGAAAAGGUAGAGUAUUGUUAGCAUUCUUUAUUAUCCAUGUUUUCCCAUUGCCAUGCUUUUGGACUUGAUUAUAGGAACAAAUGCUUCUAAACAUCUCAUUAUUUGGCAUGAAUUAAUUACAUACAGGUUGCAUUUCCUAGUUUGGAGAAAAUUUCUAUUUCCAAAUUGAGAAACAUGAAGAUGAUAUGGCAGAACCGACUCGCUGCGAAUUCCUUUCACAAACUACAAGGAAUGGAAGUUGAAGAAUGUGACGAGCUAUUGACCAUUUUUCCAUCUAAUAUGUUGAGAGCAUUUCAAGGACUGCAAACUCUAACAGUUCAGAAAUGUGUUUCGGUAGAAGAAGUAUUUGAAGUUGGAAGGUCAAAUACGGAAGAAACAGGUGCUGUCACCACUCAACUAAGGGAGUUGUAUAUUGGGUAUCUACCAAGCCUCAAGAAUAUUUGGAAAAAUGAUCCCAAAGGAAUUUUCACAUUUGAAAAUCUGCGGGUAAUAAGUGUUUGGGAUUGUUGCAGUCUGAAGAAUGUAUUUCCAGCCUCAGUAGCCAGAGUUCUUCCACAACUUAGAGAUCUUCACAUAAAUGAUUGCGGAGUGGAAGAAAUUGUUUCCAAGGAGGAAGGAUUGGAAACAACUAUCACUUUCAGGUUUGAUCAAGUAUGCUACCUUCUUCUUUGGCUGCUACCACAACUCAAAUGCUUUUACCAGGGGGUGCAUACGACGAAGUGGCCAAUGUUAAAAAAGUUAAAAGUAUUUGGCUGUGACAAAAUGAAGAUACUUGGUACAGAACGUCUCAACAUCUCAGACACGGCUAAAGUCGAUGGACAACUUGAGUCCAGUUUAAUCCAACCACCGCUUUUGUUGGCUGAAAAGGUAUGCAUGUGCCUCCACCUCCACUCUUUCUCAACUGAUUAAGGUGCUAACGUGUACGUGAAUAGCUAUUUAAUAGGCCCUCGUAAUGUACUAGCUAUAUUUCCAACUUUUUAUUAACAAGCUAGAGUACCAAAAAUCAAAUGUGAUCUUAUAAAAAAUCAUUAAAUACAACAAAAUCAAAUUUUUAUUAUUGUUAUUAUUUUUAUAGGAAAUUGCAUAUGUCAAUGACUAGCUAGUUGAAUUUAUAUAAAAAUUUAUGAAAAAUUAAGUGACUAAAUGUGUAAUAAAAAAUGGAGUAUAUAUACCUUGUUUGAGUCAAACCCAUACUUUUAAUUGUGGAAUAUGGAAAUGAUUAUAAGUAAAAAGAAGUAUUCAAAAGUUUGAAAUGUAAUCUGAGUGUACCAAGACUUGCGUACUAGCAUACUGUGUUUGUCUGUGCACUUGUUUUCUUUUGUUAGUACAAUAAUUUUUGCAUUGUUGAAAGAAGAACAUUGACUCCAAAACUGUUACUUUAUUGGUUUUCAGGUCAUCCCUCAAUUAGAAAAAUUGUCAUUAAAUAUUGAUGACAUUAAUGCAAUGAUAAGUGAUAGUCAAUUUUCAAGAAGCCUUUUUCGUGAAAUAAAAGUUCUUAGGGUGUGCAACUCUGGUGAUGAAUCUGUUGUUUUCCCAAUUACUUUCCUAGAAAGAUUUCACAAUCUAGAAAAGCUUGUGGUGAUUUCUUAUGAAUUCAAAGAGCUGUUCUGCAAUGAAAGAGAUUGUGGUGUGGAGACAUAUGCUGGGACACUGCCCACGAUCAGAAGCUUAAAAUUGAUUGGUCUUGAUAAUCUCAAACAUUUAUGGAAGCAGGACGUACAAGUAGACCGCAUUCUCCCUAAUCUGGAAACUCUUCAAGUCUACCAGUGUGACAAACUUAUUAGUUUAGGGUCAUCCUCAGCAUCGUUUCAAAAUCUCUUGACGUUGAAUGUGUGCAGCUGUGGCUCAAUGAUAUGCUUAGUUACAUCUUUAGCAGUCCAAAGUCUGGCCCAACUCAAAAAAUUGACGAUAAGAGAGUGCAUUUCCAUGAAGGAAAUAGUUGGAAAUGAGGGUGAUGAAGCAACAUACAACAUUAAUUUCAGUAAGUUGAAAAGUUUGGAACUCUGUGAUUUACCACAAAUUAAAAGCUUUUGUUCAGGCAACCACACAUUUGGGUUCCCAUCUUUAGAAGAAGUAAUUGUGAACAAAUGUCCCGAAAUGGAGAUUUUCUGUAAGGGAGUUUUAAAUGCGCCAAUGCUGGAAAGAGUACGAGUAACAGACAAAGAUGAUAAGGGACAUUGGGGUGGUGACCUUAACAGCACUGUCCAACAAUUGUACGCCGAAAAGGUACUUGCUCAUUUUAAUUUAUCUAACCAAUUAGUUGUCUUUGUAAGGCUUUUUUUGUUGGUGGAUGCUUUUGUUUGCUUAAUUUGAUAAGGUUUCUAUUUUUAUUUCUUUUGUUUUUGUGGUUACCUAUGAACUUAAUCGUUCUUUUUUGUUGGAUUUUGUAGGUUGGAUACAAAGGAGUGGAGUAUGUAGUACUCUCCGAGUUUUCUAAGUCAACAGAAAUAUGGAAAGAGAAUCCUGAAGGAGUUUUCAAUUUCGUAAAUCUUACAUAUUUGGAGGUUUACAAUUGUAAGAGCCUGAAGUACAUAUUUACUGUUUCUAUGGCUUUGGAUCUUCUGCAAUUGAAGGAGAUAAAAGUAAGAAAUUGCCCUAUGAUGGAGCAAAUAAUCACAAAUGAAGGAGCAGAGGAAGCAUCAAUCGUGCUGCCCAGGCUUGUCCUUAUAACUCUUAGGUCAUGUUCCAACCUGAGGAGCUUUUCUUUGGGAAGUAUUACAAUGGAAUGUCCAUCUUUGCUAUCUGUUGAUGUAGAUAAUUGUCCAAAAAUGUUAGCAUUGGCAUCUACAUUUGAAGGAGAGAAGGAUAUAGAGACAGUUGCGGCCUUUUUCAAUGAUAAGGUUAGUCUCUGCAUGGUUUCUUAACAUUUAAAACGCUUUUCUUUCCAAAGUUUUUGAUGCAAUAAGGAUUAUGUAUGUAGGUUGUAUGUCCAAAUUUGCAGAAUGUGCGACUAUCCUCAAUUGACGUUCAGAGAAUAUGGGAUGACCAACUUCCUGAAAUGUCUUCUUAUGCUCAAAAUUUAAAACAAUUGACUGUCGAGGGCUGUAGAAAUCUAGAAGAAGUUAUCUUUAUAGAAGGAUUACCAGAAGAUGGCAUGAUGAGCCAAAUAUUCCCUAAACUAGAAAUUUUGCAAUUCGAAGACCUUCCCAAACUCGCGAGAUUCUGCCAUGGAAGUUACUUUGAAUUCCCCUUGUUAAAAAAGCUUAUAAUGAUGAACUGUCCUGCAUUGAAGACAUUCAUCUCCGAUUCUACAGAGACAAACGAAACUCUUAUUUGUCAAAAAGCGAAAGGAAACAACUCAGAUAUUGAUUCCCCUCCUCUCUUUAGUGAAAAGGUGAUUACUCCAUUUGUCUUUUCUUUAUCACUCUUCUUUUUUUUUUUUUUAUGUAUCCUCAAGUUUUAAAUGUUUGAUUCCCCUUUCCUUUGUUACAUUUUUUCCUUGUUAUUUAGUUGUUGAACAUGAAGAUCUAUGAUCUGCAAUAUUAUUGACACAAUCAAUAAAUUUAGCAGGUGGCUUUCCCUCAAUUAAAGGAAUUGGGAAUCGUAGGGAUGGCAAACUGCAGAAAGAUAUGGCCUGAUCAACUCGUUGGUGAUUCAUUUUGCAAGCUAAAUGAUUUGUGGGUGUACAAAUGCAAUCGGCUGUUGAACAUUUUUCCACUUAAUAUGAGGGCAAGACUCCAGAAUCUAGAGGAUUUCCGAAUAAGAGAUUGUGAUUCAUUAGAAGAAAUAUUUGAACAUGAAGCGCUCAAUACCAACGACUUUUGUGAUUCAUUAGAAGAAAUAUUUGAACAUGAAGCGCUCAAUACCAACGACUUACAUUCAGUGACUGCCACUCAAUCCAUUGCGGAAGAAACAACCACUAAUUUUGUAUUUCCUAAACUAACAUACUUGGAACUUUAUAUGCUGCCCAGAUUGAGGAGUUUCUGCUCUACGAUACAUACUACGGAGUGGCCAUCAUUAAAGAAAAUGUGGAUAUAUGGAUGUGACAAAGUGGAGAUAUUUGCUUCAGAAAAUAUUCGGAGCUUUGGAGAAUCAACAAAUCAUCAACCCCUGUUUUGGGUAAAUGAGGUAAUUGAACACAAAACUAUGUUCAACUUUUAAACAUUUAGUAUGAUCUUGAUUUUCAAUGUAAAUUUAUAUGGUUUGUUGGGUCAAAACUCAAUCAAAUCCAGAUAGAUUUGCCUUUUUUUUUUCAUAUAAUUCUCACAAGCAUGUCUCAGUAUUGCUCCAAUAUUGUAGCUUGCACAUAAGAUUUAUGUUAAAAUAACUAUAUUCACUCAAUUAAGGUGUUCUCAUCUUGCUUAACUCAUAUAGAUGCAUCAUAUGGCACUUUUAGAUUAGGUUUCAAGGAGUGUUUCGAAAAAGAUAAAUUAGAUUAAACAAAUUCAUGUACAUAAAAAUUUGGUAUUAGGCAAUUUAUCAGAAAGAAUUUUUCUAUACAAUGAUAUUCAGAAAACUCAAGCAAUAUAACAUUUGAACUGUGUCUUCAUCAUUCUUGUGUUGCAUUCCCACCAUAAUAUACACAGUGUGUCUCACUGUUAGCUUCAAGAGCUUAGUUCGUAGAAUAAAUGAAACAUUGACAUCUUUAACUUUAGUCUAACACAUUUGUUAAUUUCCAGGUUACAUUUCCCAAUCUGGAAGAAUUAAAAUUGGAGUGGAAUGACAUUAUGAAAGAGAUAUGGCAUGGACAACUUAGAGCAAACUUUUUCUACAAACUAAAAGUUCUUGAGCUCAUUCACUUUCCUGAUCAAUCAGCUGUUUUCCCACAUUGUUUUAUUCAGUCAUUACCAAAUUUAGAAAAGCUUGCUGUUAGUGAAGCUUCCUUUAGUCAUAUAUUCCAUUUUGAAGGAUUUGAUGGUCAGAAAAAUCAUGCAUCGGCAAUCACUUCGUUGAAUGAAUUGGUGCUGUCUGAACUUCCUGAGCUAACACAUCUUUGGAAGGAAGAAUACCACCCCAUACCAGCUUUCUGUGAACUGAGAACUCUUCAAGUGCGGGAUUGUGGCAAAUUAAAGAUUUUAGCGCCAUCAUCAGUGUCUUUUGAAAAUUUAACAACUUUGGAAGUUUCAAGAUGUCAUGGAUAUGUGAAUUUGAUAACAUGCUCAACAGCUAAGAGCCUAGUGCAACUCACAAGAAUGACCAUAACUGAUUGUGAGAUGAUAGAGAAAAUCAUAGCAUGUGAGUCUGAGGAAGUGAAAGGAGACAUUGUUUUUACUGAACUGAAGUAUUUGCAACUAAGUUGUCUACCAAAUAUGGCUAGCUUCUGCUUAGGGGAUCACAACUUGGAAUUCCCUAUCUUGGAGAAAAUGAUUGUGAGAGAAUGCCCAAAGAUGAUGAUUUUCUGCCAAGGAGAUUUAAGCACACCACAACUCCAAAAAGUGAUAUUGACAGAAGAUGGAGAUGAAGAAAAUGGGCAGUGGGAAGGCGAUCUUAAAACUACUAUAAAACGGAUGUUUGAAGAAGAGGUAAGUAUCAAUUUAAAAGAUUUUCUUAUGUUGCUUUGGUUUCUUAUUUUGAUUUUUCAGUAGCAUCCGUUAACUUUUCCUUGUCACCCCAUACUUUUUAAAAGGUUGCUCAAAUGAGGAAACCAUACUAAUAUAUAAAGUAGAGCUGUUGCAGAAUUAUUGGAGCAUGCACUAUCGAGAAGCCAGUGAUUAUUGUCUGCUGAGUUAGAGUUUUCAAUCGUCAUGAACAACACUUCCUCUGCAACUUCAGCUUUCUCAACUUGCUUUGCAACCUGUGGUUUUUUGUCUGCAGCCUCAGCUUUGUUCUUACAGACUUUUUCUACAUGCCCUAACUGCUUACAAGCAUUGCAUUUGACUCCAAGUCUGAACCAGCGUUAAGCUUCAGAAUGGUUCUUUUUCUUGCAAUAGGAGCAGACUGGAAACUUGCCCCUUUUGUUUUGGGAUCUUCCAGCAGCUGUACCAGCUUUGUCUUUCUUUUUAUUUUCAUUUGAAUUCUUUUUAAAUGAAGGAUCAGCAGGGGCCUUACCUUUUGCACGAGCUGCCAAUGCAUGAUCAACUCUUUCAUCUCUUCUUGCUGCCUUCCUCUGUUCAUCAGCUUCCAAAGCACUAACCAAGUCUGAUAUUGAGAGCUCUGUAAUAUCCUUAACUUGCUCUAGAGAGGUGAUUGUAUGAUCAAACCUUUUUGGUAGACUUAACAUAAUCUUCUCUACCACUUUCAAAUCAAUGAGGGAGUCUCCCAUGAGUCUGAUCUGAUUUACUAGUUUCAUCAAAUCCUCAACAAACUCACCUACGGUCUGAUUUUCUUUCAUUCUCAGAAGCUCAUAUUUCCUUUUGCGGUUUUGCAAACGCACCUGUUUGCUCCUUGCAGACCCCAAAAACUCCUUCUCAAGUUUACUCCAAGCCUCGUUUGCAGUCGCACAUCCCAUAAUCCUGUUGAAAAUCGAUUCAGACACUGCUGAAUGUAUGAAUGACAAAGCUCUAUAUCACUUUGCAAUAUCUUCUUCAUAUUGCUUCACCUGAGCCUGCGUAGCAUUCUCCUUCAGCACUGGAAAUUCAGUUUCAAACUCAACAGCAUUCCAGAGGUUAACACUUAGAAAUGCCUUCAUUUUUAUGACUCAAACUGCAUAAUUGGAACCAUCAAAAAAAGGAGGUGACUGCUGUGUAAUGGUUGAAGUUGAAGUUGACAUGUUUGAAAAAAAAGUUUGGUUAUUGUAGAUGAGACUUUGAAGGUAAUUUGUAAGUUGUUUAAAUGACUCAAAGGAUCAAUUCACAGCUCUGAUACCAUGUUCUUGUUAAUACAGAAAAGAUGCAGCAGGCAUGCAAGGACAAAGUAAAAGCAAUAGACAAAACAGAGAGCAGAACUUGGCUAAUAUCGAUCCAUCCAUUUACUGAGGAGAAAUCCAUAAAUAUAUACAAGAGCUAUUUAACUAACACUUGUACAAAAAAAUAUCCAAGUGUUUGACACAGCAUUAGAGCAAACAUGCAGUGCUUACACAUCCUAGGACAGAUGUGCAGCAGCAUGCUCUGUGAAUUACCAAACUAGCACAACAAAACAAAGUGGACACUUGUCCUGUGCAUAGUUAGACAAAAUGACAUUCAAGCUAGUUUUUAUCUCAACAAUUAUCAGUGUCUUCUGAAAAUUUAACAACUUUGAAAGUUUCAAGAUGUCAUGGAUAUGUGAAUUUGAUAGCAUGCUCAACAGCUAAGAGCUUAGUGCAACUCACAAGAAUGACCAUAACUGAUUGUGAGAUGAUAGAUAAAAUCAUAGCAUGUGAGUCUGAGGAAGUGAAAGGAGACAUUGUUUUUACUGAACUGAAGUAUUUGCAACUAAGUUGUCUACCAAAAUGGCUAGCUUCUGCGUAGGGGAUCACAACUUGGAAUUCCCUAUCUUGGAGAAAAUGAUUGUGAGAGAAUGCCCAAAGAUGAUGAUUUUCUGCCAAGGAGAUUUAAGCACACCACAACUUCAAAAAGUGAUAUUGACAGAAGAUGGAGAUGAAGAAAAUGGGCAGUGGGAAGGCGAUCUUAAGACUUAUAAAACGGAUGUUUGAAGAAGAGGUAAGUAUCAAUUUAAAAGAUUUUCUUAUGUUGCUUUGGUUUCUUAUUUUGAUUUUUCAGUAGCAUCCGUUAGCUUUUCCUUGUCACCUCAUACUUGUUAAAAGGUUGCUCAAAUGAGGAAACCAUACUAAUAUAUAAAGUAGAGCUGUUGCAUAAUUAAUUUAGCAUAGAGCUUCUAACUAUUUUCCUUUUUAUAAUGGAAAUUUACUAUAAAACUGUAGUUUUUGUGCUUUUCAUUAAUUUAAGGAACUCUUGAUUAAUUUUUAUGAUUGCAGAAUGUCAAAAAUUCUGAAAACCACUAAGUUUACCUUUUAGUUGCCCAAGUAGAAAGAGGGAAAUAUUGGUUUUGUACUUGUGAGAGGCUACAUGUUCCUUGGAUUGAAGUGAGAUGGUAAGUAGAUCUUCUACUUCCAUAAUCUUCAUUUUUCUACUCUAUUUCCAUCACCACACCUGACUGCUUUGUUUUUUUUCUCCUUCAAUUUUGGAUUGCCAAUUAAUUAAUUUUUUUAUUAAUUAAUUUGUAGAAGAAAUAACAGGGAACUGGUUUGUUUAAAAGUGAUUGAUUUAUAUACCCUUAUCAAUUUAUUAAUUUAUGAAAUUAGAAAAUUAUUACUUAUUUUUUAUUAUCAAUUAAGUUAUUUAGUAGGAUUUGUAACAUUGAAAAUGUGAAAUUGCAAUUAGUAAUAGGAAAUAUUGAUGGCUGAUACAUAGUUGAAAUGUAUGAAUGUGUAACAUGAAGCUGGUUAUUUUCUAAUUGGAUAUUUGCUGGGGGUUCUUCCAAAAGGUUAUAGAAUACCAUGCAUAGAGGAGUUGCAAGAUGAUAGAUUUGUUGCUGGAAGUGUAGACGAGUCUCUUCACGUGAGUAAGAAUAUUGUUGUCAUUACUACGCUUCAUUAGUUUGAAUUGCCUUACUGACCGAGAAAAGGAAAUAGUUUGAUGCUAAUUUUAUGUUAUGAUGUUAAUGCUAACUUGCUAAGACAUCUUAUAAGUUAUGUAUAUCUGCACCUUGCAGGCCAGUGCUCGUAGCAUUUCAAACAAGGUGAAAAGCUCUCUUUUUCUCCAGUUAGCUUCCACUAUUCUGCAACUCUUGGGUUCUACCACUGUAAUUGUUUGAGGGCCCUUCUUUGGUCUUGAUGGCUAGAUGCAUGCUGCACCCGCAUCAUUAAGUUCCUAGGUUCGAGGGCUAACAGAAGAAUUGACUGAAAGCUGGUCCGAAAAGCACAAUAGAAAUCAGAUAAUAGAUAUGACUUGUAGGAUAGCAAGACAUGAAGCAACUUCAGCUGGUACUAACAAAAACUAUUAACUAUAAUUUGAUAGUCUAACAGGAAUAAUUUGUUCAUCUGUUCUUUUGUAAUGCUUUUUCUUUUAGUAUCAUAGGUAGGUGAUGACUGAGGAAAAGAAAAAUUAUUAAAGAAUGAAAUGGUCUCCAAGUCUUUAUGGUAUUAAGUGCAUGGAAUUUGGUUUAUCUGCAGUACUUCCACUUCCAAAAUAUCACUGAAGGUGAGGGAAGAAAUGUGGGAAGAGAUGAAUCACAAGCAUGCUAAUAUUGGCAUUUCAUAGAACUCAAGCUUUGUUCCAAAGUCAGGGCCUCAUAGGCACAGUCAAACAGAGUGCAUUCUACAAACCUGAGACACGCACGCAUACCAAGUGCAAUGGUCUUAUUAAUCAUAUGAAGAGCAUCACUCGCAUCAUAUUUCUGCCUGAUACUAUGCUUUGCAGACUCUGAACAACUUUUUAUGCGUGGUCUUAGGAAGCCUAGUCGCUGAGCAUCUACAAUUUGGAUGCAUAGAGGGACUCCAUGAUGAUGUUGACAAGGUACAUUCUUCUGCUCAAAUGAUGUUGCCAUGAGGUAUUUUCAGAUUACUAACUGCUAGUGCUUCCCAUUAAUGGAAGCAGCUGGAUAAAGUACUUAGCUGGUUGGGUUACACUGCGAUCAAGUUAGAUGGGCUGCAUCGAAUACUAUUACAAUAGAAGAUGCUGAUGUUGGGAGAGAAAUCGAGCUGGUUCGCAAGCUCUAUCAGAGCAUCCCUCAAUCUGCUGUCCUUUGUGAGAGUGGCCAGAACAGUUGUAGAGUGGUUUCCACAAGCAAAAAUUUCUUCAAUUUAUUGCCCAUGAUGUAACUAGCAUUAUAAUUAAGCGUUGUCUUCUACUUCAUGUUCAAAUUGCAUGUAAGUUGGCUAUGAUUAGAACUUUGUAGUUCAACUUGAACUCUUAGAUAGUUCUGUUUUUACAUUUAGCAGGAUCCAAUGAGCAAUACAUGAAGAUUGUACAGUCUACAACAUCAUCUUGGUCCGUUCUUGCUCAUCCAGGAAAGGAAAUUCAGACAAAAACCAUUGUUUCUGAUGAUUUUUUGUACCACAGAAACUUGCAAACAGACCAAGGCAGAUUAAACUCCCAAAACAAUGAGAGAAAGAACAGGAAAAAAGAAUCAUGCAAAUUCAAUAUAAUUAACUUGAUACAUUACUGCUUUGCUCAAAAAGAUACCAUAAAAGAGUUCAGAACCCCAAAAUCAAAGAACCCUAAAACUAAACCAUCCUAUAUUAUACAGCUGGUCAAAAAAAAAAAAAACCCAAAAACAAAACAAAGAAGAAAAAGCGGACUAAAACUCCUGAGAAGCAGAUCCAAUAUCACCCUUGCCCUUUCCCAUUUUCUUUGGAAGAAGGGUUUGGUGAAUGUUGGGCAAAACACCUCCAUUUGCAAUGGUAACCGAACCCAAAAGCUUGCUUCGCUUCUCAUCAUUCCUCACUGCUAGUUAGAUGUGUCUUGGAACAAUUCGAUUCUUCUUGUUGUCUCUCGCUGCGUUGCCAGGAAGCUCUACUAACUCACAAGCUAAAAGCUUGUUGCAAGUCACAAGAAUGACCAUAACUGAUUGUGAGAUGAUAAAGGAAACCAUAGCCUGUGAGUGUGAUGAAGUGAAAAGAGGCAUUGUUUUUACCCAACUGAAGUAUUUGCAACUAAGCGGUCUACCAACUCUGGCUAGCUUUUGCUUAGGAGAUCAUAACUUUGAAUUCCCUGCCCUAGGGAAAAUGAUUGUGAGAGAAUGCCCAAAAAUGAAGAUUUUUUGUCAAGGAUAUUUAAGCACACCACAACUGCAAAAAGUCAUAUGGACAAAAGAUGAACAUGAAGAAAAUGGGUGGUGGGAAGGUGACCUUAAAACUACUAUAACACGGAUGUUUGAAGAAAAGGUAAGCAUCGAUUUAAAAGAUUUUCUUAUGUUGCUUUGUUUUCUUAUUUUGAUAUUUCAAUUAGCUUUUCCUUGUUACCCCAUACUUAUUAAAAGGUUGCUCGAAUGAGAAAACCAUACUAAUACAUAAAGUAGAGCUGUUGCAGAAUUAGUUCAUUAAUUUAGCAUAGAGCUUCUAAUUAUUAAUAAAGAAAUUUACUAUAAAAUUAUCGUUUCGGUCUCUUCUAUAGCGUAUCCAAUUUCAGAAAUUCUUAAUUUUUAUAAUUUCAAAAUAUCGAAAAUUCUAAAGAUCAUUGAGUUUAUUCUUUAAUCUGCUCAAAUUGGAAGAAGGAAAUAUUGUUUUUGUACUUGCGAGACACUACAUGUUCCUUGGGUUGAAGUGAGAUGGUAAGUUGAUCUUCUACUUCCAUAGUCUUCAUUUUUCUACUUUAUUUCCUUCGCCGUGGCUUAGUUGCUUUGUUUUUUUUUUUCUUGAUUUUCGAAUUGCCAAUUAAAAGCAAGAUAAGAAUUUGUCUAUUAAUCGUUUGCACCGAUGACAGACAAAAGAAUGAACUGCAUAGAUCGAGUGCACUUUGACUCUCCGGUAGACGUAAUCCGACCUCCACCCAAUUUCGAUCUCUCGAAACAGCGUCACGAAGCUCUACAAAGGGUUGACAAAGAGCUCUCGAAGCGCAAUUUCAGAACUAAAAGAAAGUUGAAGUUCAAUUAAUCUAAUGUGAGAUGUUAGAAGUUGUUUUUAUUUUUAUUUUUUGCAUAAAUAAAGAAAGGAAAAAAAGUAGAGGAAUGGAACAAAUAAUAUGGACAAAAUAGAAUAUAACAUAGGAAAGAAAAGAAAAAGAAGAAAAAAGAGAAAAUUAAAAGCUAAAAAAAUCAACAGAUAAUUAAUAGUAUUAUCAUAUAAUUCUACUCAUAUAAAUUUGUAUAAUUAACUUAACAAAGAUAUAAACCAUUUAAUGUAAAGAAUCCUUGACUCUAUUCCGAAUAAUAAAAGAAGUAAUUGGGAUGUUAUAUUUAAUAAACUCAAAAGUUUAAGAUUAUACAGAUAAAUUUAACCAACCAAUUAUAAUUCAAAGAUGGAGGUUUGAUUACCUUCCCGAAUAUAUAAAAAUUGAAGACUUGAAGCAGUGUGCUAUAGCAGGAUUCUAAAGGCAAGACAAAGAAAAAGUCACAUAUUCUUAAUGAACAAAAUCAGUCACUUUACUUGUGCAAAUAAUCAAGCUCUGAUUCUACAUUGUAACAUUUAAAUUAUUGUUAUUUAUUUCAGUUUCCAGUCAUUCGAUGCUUUCUUUUGCCUUGUCUUCUUUGCCACCCAAUGCAUCUUUUUCUUUUUCUCUAUACCAAAACAUCAUCAUUCUGUUUGUUUUCUUUUUGGAGAGAAGGAAAAUCAAAAGAUUAUUCAUUCCAAGAUUCCUAUAAGCAAAUGUGACAGAAGGUUAAAUUCUUCAAUUCAGUAAAGGCAUGCACAAAGACACUUGUCACGAACAAUCCAUCCAUGGAAAAAUGGUAAGCAGACAAAUAUUAGGCCUGGACCCUCCUAGUUAUGGACAGGAUGACAAAUAACAACAUUUACUUAAAAUGUUAAAAAUAUUAAACCAAGAGUUGUUGAGACAUCUAUAUUCUUUUCGUAAUUGCAGUUGCACCGAAUUUUAUGACGUUGGUCUUGGUUAGAGGCUUGAAUCUUUCUUUUUGGAUAUUUAUAUUAUUUAUUUGUUUAAUAAAAAUCUCAUGACUUGUGCCUAUUAUAUAUAAUUAUUCUAAAAAAAAAUAAAGAUAUAACAAAGACUUAAGGUGAGUCUUCCAUUAUGCUUGAAUGACCAUGAGAAGCUUCCUAGGUUUAUAAAACCCGAACACACAACGUUUCUGCUCAACUCAUUCCUAUGAUCUUACUUUAGCGUCCUUUGCUCUUCCAUUUCUCAAAACCCUUUUAUUUCCUUGCUUUGAUCGUCGAUUAUCGUUUCCCUUUCCUUUGGUUUUGGCUUGCUCCGUUGUUUCUUUCUCAUCUCUUUUUCCUCCACCUCAAAGUGUCGGCUUCUCACAUUCCUCUGCUUUCCACCCAAUAAACCAGAAACUUUUACUUUGAUUCUUAGUUGCCUCUUUGUUCAUCGCUACAGUUAAUGCAGAAGCCACCGUUUCCAAUUUCUCACCGUUCUGAUUAUUUUCCUUGCUAACAUAGUUUUUCAUAUAUUAGUUUUUGCUAUUUUCAUUUUUGGGUCUGCUCGAUCCCCUGUUUUCUCUGUUCUUUUGUCAUUUGCUUUAAUUGUCUGUUGAAUUUUUUAAAAAAAAUGGAAGCUGUUGGUACUGGAGCUGCUGCCAACGUUUCUUCAGAGAUCGCGAAAGGCACCUUCCAAGAAAUUAAACGUCAUAUCAGACAUGUAUUUAUCUACAAGAAAAAUGUCGACAAGUUCGAGGAAAAACUUCAGAUGUUGAUAGCAAAAAGAACAAGUGUGCAGCAAGAGGUUGAUGCUGCGGACAGGAACGGGGAGAAGAUAAAAGCGGACGUCCAACAUUGGAGCAACACAGUGGACAAGGUAAUCAAUGAAGAGGAGAAGAAGGUGAAGGAUCUUCAAGAGAAAGCAAAGAACAAGUGCUUCAUUGGCUUGUGUCCCAAUAUUAAGUCUCGCUACCAGCUUAGCAGGAAAGCAGAAGAAGGUGUUGCGGUUGUUGACGACCUUAUUCGACAGUGUCAAUUUAACGAAGUGGGAUACCGUGGUGUUCCAGAAGGUUUUCAACGAUAUCGUGGAAGCAGUGAAAGAUGCUGCUAUCACUAGUCAACAAAGUUGCUAGACAAGUCCAAGAGGUCAAGUUAUUUGAUUCGGUGGUUAACGUAAUUGUGACUCAAGACUCCUGACAUUCAGAAAAUUCAAGAUCAAGUUGCACAAUUAUUAAGUCUCAGACUGGAAGAUAAGAGUACGGUUGUAAGAGCACAUAGAUUGUGCGAAAGGUUGAAAAAAGGGAAGAAGGUUCUUGUUGUUUUAGAUAAUACUUGGAAGGAAUUGGAUCUCGAGAAAGUUAGAAUUCCAUUUGGGAACCAACACAAGGGAUGCAAGAUAUUGUUGACGUCAAGAGAUCAAAAUGUACUCACCAAUGAGAUGGAUGCAGAGAAAACUUUUGCAAUUGGUGAUAAAGAAGAUUGGCUCUUAUUUAGGAAGACGGCCGGGGAAAUUGUUGAAAGCACUGAGUUGCGAUCUACAGCAAUUGAGGUAGCCAAAAGAUGUGCAAAAUUACCGUUGGCCAUUGCAACAGUUGCAAGGGCAUUGAGAAAUAAAAGCUUAUAUGCUUGGAAUGAUGCUUUACGGUAACUACAGAGGCCUUCCUCAAAAACUUCGCUGGGAUAUCCGCAGCCGUAUAUUCAGCUAUAGAGUUGAGUUACAAUCACUUAGAAAGUGAAGAUCUUAAACAGGUUUUCCUGCUUUGCAGUCUACUGCAUUGUGAUAGCAUCGAUUACUUGUUGAGAUAUGCCAUUGGUUUGGGUUUAACUAAUGGUGUCAACACCGUGGAGGAAGCGCGAAAUAGGUUGUUAACAAUGGUGAGUAACUCUUGUUUUUUACUUGAUAGUAACAUCAAUGACCAGUACUUUGAUAUGCAUGAUCUUGUUUUUGAUGUCGCCAUGUCAAUCGCUUUUACAUACAAUCAAGUCUUUGCAUUAAAUGAGGAGGAUGUUCUAAAAGAUUGGCCUGAUGGGGAGACAAUGAAAAAGUGGAACAAGAUUUGUUUGAAAUAUCAUAGGGUUGGAGAGGUUCCUGACAAGUUGAAUUGUCCACAGCUUGUUCUUUUCCUUAUUUGUAGAAAGGAUCUGUCCAUGAAAAUGCCACCUAACUUCUUUAGGGAAACAACAAAUCUUAAAGUCUUAGAUUUGACUCAGAUGCAUUUCUCUUCUUUACCUUCAUCAAUUUGUCUUCUAACAAGUCUUCGUACAUUGUGCCUAGAUCAAUGUGAAUUGGGAGAUAUAGUCAUUAUUGGAGAGCUCAAGAAUUUAGAAAUUCUUAGCCUUUGAAAUCUAAUAUCAAAACUCUAGCUAAGGGAAUUGGGCAACUAGUUAAGUUGAAGUUAUUGGAUUUAAAUGAUUGUACUAAACUCAAAAUAAUUCCACCAGGUGUCUUAUCAAGUUUGUCCAAAUUAGAAGAAUUAUAUAUGGGUGACACGUUUAUUCAAUGGGAAGCAGGGGAACAGGCCAACCAACAAAGCAAUGCUAGUCAUUGUCUCGUUUGACCACUUUAGAAGUUCAAAUUCCUAAUGCUGAGGCCAUGCUAGAAGGGUUGCUCUUUAAAGAGAUGCAAAAGUUGAAAAGAUACAAAGUUUUCGUAGGAAAGGAAUGGGAAUGGUUUGGUGAGUAUGAGUAUCCAAGGACUCAGAAACUCAAGUUAAGUACAAGCAUUGAUCAUUUGGAUCAUGGAAUUAAGUUGUUAUUGAAGAACACCGAAGCUCUGUAUUUCGAUGAACUUAAAGGUGUCAAGUUUGCAAUGCAAGAGUUAAAAGAUGAAGAAAGCUUGCUGCUGUUCAAGAAUCUAUAUAUCCAAAAUAUUCAAUGAUCAAAUAUAUCAUUAUUGAUAAUGGUGUCUUUGACACUUCAAAAUCUAUCACAGCUCAUUGGCUUUUGUUCUGAAGAAAAAAGCAGCUCUACCUCCACAGCUCAACAUGAUCAGUUGCCUCUUUUCAAUGAUAAGGUAUUUAUUAACUUCCAUCUUUUACUCAUUCUAAGGCAUAGGUUAAUCUUAUUUUUAAAUUCUUUAAGAUUCUUUCUUAUGAUCGACCAAUGUUCUCGGAUGUUAAAUUUGUAUUAUUUUAGAAUCUCCUUCCUUCACUUCUUUGCUAGAUGCCCCUGAAUAUCUAUUAUGAGUAAAAACAUACAUUGAACAUCCAUUAUAAAUAUAGAAGAAGAAAGCAAAGAUAAGAUUUUGUUUCCUCAAUUAAGCUUUCUAAAGUUAUAGGAUCUUUAGCAUCUUGUUGGAUUUUUCUUAAAAGAUCAGAAUAUUGAAUUUCCAUUCUUGAAGGCAUGAUGAUAGAGAACUGCCCAGAAAUAAAAGGGCUCAUAUACAAAUCUUUGACGGAAGGGAGCCAACGUUUCUCUAGUCAAGCUUUCUUCAACGAAAAAGUAGAUUAAUUAGCAUUCUUUAUUGAACAUGUUUUUCCCAUUGCCAUGCUUUUGGCCUUGAUUAUAGGAACAAAUGCUUCUAAAAUUUUCAUUAAUUGGCAUGAAUUAAUUACAUACAGGUUGCAUUUCUUAGUUUGGAGGGACUUUCUAUUUUCAAAUUGAGAAGCAUCAAGAUGAUAUGGCAGAACCAACCCGCUACGAAUUCCUUUGGCAAACAACCAGGAAUGAAAGUUCAAGAAUGUGAUGAGUUAUUGACCAUUUUUCCAUCUAAUAUGUUGAGAGCAUUUCAAGGACUGCAAAAAUCUAUUAGUGAACAAUUGUGUUUUGCUAGAAGAAGUAUUUGAAGUCAGAAGGUCAAAUAUGGAAGAAACAUGUGCUGCCUCCACUCAACUAGGAGAGUUGUAUAUUGUGGAUCUACCAAGCCUCAAGUAUAUUUGAAAAAAUGAUCCCAAAGGAAUUUUUACAUUUGAAAAUCUGCGGGUAAUAAGUAUUUGGCGUUGUUUCAAUCUGAAGAAUGUAUUUCCAGCCUCAGUAGCCAAAGUUCUUCCAUAACUUAGAGAUCUUCGGAUAGCUGGUUGCAGAGUGAAGGAAAUUGUUUCUAAAGAGGAAGGAUUGGAAACAGUUGUCACUUUUGUGUUUGAUCAAGUAUCCUACCUUUGCCUUUUGAACCUACCAGAACUCGUAUGUCUCUACUUGGGGGUGCAUGCCACAGAGUGGCCAAUGUUAAAAAGGUUAAAUGUAUUGGACUGUGGGAACAUGAAGAUACUCGGUAUAGAACGUCUUAGCAUCCCUGAUAAGACUAAGGUCGAUGGACAACUUGAGUCCACAUUAAUCCUUCCACCGCUUUCGUUGGCUAAAAGGUAUGCGUGCACCUCCACCUCAACUCUUCUCUCAAUUAAUUAAGAUGCUAACGUGUACAUGAAAAGCUAUUUGAUUGAUCCUUGUAAUGUACAAAAAAUCAUUUCCAUCAAAUGUGAUCUUCAAGAAAAUCAUUAAAUACUACCAAAUCAAUUUUUUAUUUUUAUAUUUAUUUUUAUAGGAAAUUGCAUAUGUCAAUGACUAACUAGUUGAAUUUAUAUAAAUUAAGUGGUAUGUAAUAUUUUGAAAAAUAAAUCACUUGCAUGUUUUGAUUUCACUCACAAUUUCAGAUGAGCAUUUAGUCACUUAACUUUUCGAAAACUUUUAUUUUUAGUCAUUCAAUAUUAAAAAAUAAUGAUUUGGUCACCAACAUUUGUGAAAGUUAUUUUUUUUAACACUUAAUAAUUAGAAAAAAAAAGUCAAUCAUUAGCUUUUUUAGAGAAAAAAAAGGUCAACCAUUGGCUUCUAACAACUGAGUGAUAAACAUGAACUUUCACAAAGUUUGAUAGCCAAAUUGUGAUUAUUUAAAAUUAAAUGACCAAAAUAAAAACUUAUGAAAAAUUAAUUGAGUAAAUGUGUAAUUAAAAUUGGAGUUUGUUUGAGUCCAACCCCUACCUUUAAUCGUGAAAACAAGUACCAAGACUUGCCUACUCGCAUAUUGUGUUUGUGUGUGCACUUAUUUUCUUUUUGGCUCCAAAACUAUUUUUUCAGGACAUCCCUAAAUUAGAAAAAUUGUCGCUAAAUAUUGAUGACAUUGCAAUGAUAAGUGAGUCAAUUUUCAAGCAGCCUUUUUCGUUAAAUAAAAGUUUUUAAGGUUUACAGCAACCCUGGUAAAUCUGUUGUUUCCCCAAGUGCUUUCCUUGAAAGAUUUGACAAUCUAGAAAGCUUGUGGUGAUUUCUUAUGAAUUCAAAGAGCUGUUCUGCAAUGAAAGAGAUAAUGGUAUGGAGACAUAUGCGGGGACACUGCCGAUGAUCAGAAGCUUAAAAUUGAUUCAUCUUCAUAAUCCCAAACAAUUAUGGAGGCAGGACGUACAAGUAGACCACAUUCCCCCGAAUCUGGAAACUCUUAAAGUCUGGGAUUGUGCCAAACUGAUUAGUUUAGGAUCAUCCACAGCAUCGUUCCAAAAUCUCUUGAUGUUGGAUGUGUGGAGCUGCAAAGCAAUGAUAUGCUUAGAUACAUCUUUAGCAGUCCAAAGUCUAGCCCAGCUCUAAAAAUUGAGGUUAAGACAGUGCAUUCCAAUGAAGGAAAUAGUUGGAAAUGAGGGUGAUGAAGCAACAUACGACAUUGUUUUCAGCAACUUGAAAAGUUUGGAACUUUGUGGUUGACCACAAAUUAGAAGUUUUUGUUCAGGCAACCACACAUUUGGGUUCCCGUCUUUAGAAAAAGUAAUUGUGAGCAAAUGUCCUGAAAUGAAGAUUUUCUGUAAGGGAGUUUUAAAUGCGCCAAUGCUGCAAAGAGUACAAGAAACAGAUGAAGAUGGUAAGGGACAUUGGGGUGGUGACCUUAACAGUACUAUCCAACAACUCUACGUCGAAAAGGUACCUAUGUAAGAAAUUAUUUAUCUAACGAAUUAAUUGUCUUUGUAAGGCUCUUUUUUGUUGCUGGAUGCUUUUGUUUGCUUAAUUUAACUUUAGGUUUUCUAUUUUUAUUUCCUUUUUGUUUGUGCGUACUUUUGAACUUAAUCUUCCUUUCUUUGAUGGAUUUUGUAGGUUGGAUACUAAGGAGUUGUGUAUGAAGUACUUUCCAAAUUUUCUAAGUCAAUAGAAAUAUGGAAGGACAAUCUUGAAGGAGUUUUAGAUUUUGUAAAUCUUAAAUAUUUGAAAAUUUACAAAUGUAAGAGCUUCAAGUCCAUUUUUACUGUUUCCAUGGUUUUGGAGCUUCAGCAAUUGAACGAGAUAAAAGUAAAAAAUUGCCAUAUGAUGGAGCAUAUUAUCACAAAUGAACAAGCAGAGGAAGCCGCAAUGAAUUUAAUGGUGUUACCCAGGCUUAAGGUUAUAAUUCUUGAGUCAUGUUCCAAUUUGAGGAGCUUUUGUUUGAGAAGUAUUACAAUGGAUGUCAGUCCAAUUGUUAAUAUUAUUAAAAAAAAUUAUUAUUUAUAUUGAUAUGAUUUUUUUACUGAUAUAGCAUUAAAUAUGAUGACUUGUUAAUAAUGAUGUGACAUUUUUUUUAUAUUUCACAUCAUUCUUUUCAAUGUUUUAAAUUAUGAAACACAGAAAUUUAAUUUUUUUUAUUCAAACAAUACUAUUUUCCUAAAUCCUAGAAACCUAUUAGUAUUUUUUAUUUGUUUCUUAUGCAAUUGUGUUUAAUAUCAUUAACUCACAUUGGAUAAUUCAAUAUCCACACUUAUAAAAUCCAUUUUAGUACUUGAUCAUGUCAUAUUGACAUUACUAUUACAUUAUUUUUAAAAUACUACAUCAGUAGUGUUAUGUCAUUAUAUUCAAUGUCACGUCUAAUAGCAAAGCUAAUAUUUUAUGUUUGGAGAGACGAAAAUAAAAAGUUCGAUGUUUAUAGAGAUAAAAUUAUAAAUUUUUUUUUAAAAUAGGGAUAAAAUUAUAAAUUUUAAAAAGUAAUAAGUAAAAAUUUUAAAAUUUUAACUGUGAGGCCCUACUAGCCCCUUCCUCUACUUCUAAUCAAAUCAAUAAAAAAAUACCAUGUCAACAUAAGCAAACGUCAUAUUAAUAUAAAUAAUAAAAAAUUUUAUCACAUUGAAUUGAUAUUGUAUUUUUAAAAAGUACAUAGAUUCAAUUUUUGAAAGUAUUAUAUAAAAAUUAAAUUAACCAUUAUAAUAUAAUAUAAAGACUAAUGUCAUAAUUUAAUAAAAAAUUUAUAUUCAGCCACCCCCAUUACACUUGCUCGAGUUUUUAAAUCUCGUGAUGCGACCGCUUUGUCGGGUAACCAGAAAAUAUCCUAUACAUCCCCACUUUCCAUUUAAUGGAUAAAGAAUAUACACUUGCCUCACAUGGGAAAUUGUGUUCCCUAAGGAUUUCUUUUUAUUGUGAAUUACACGACUUAUUAAAUUAAACAACAAUAAUAAAAAUUAUCUAAUUCUUGAAAUUAACAUAAAAGUCUCCAUCUAAGCUUGAUUCAACCUGAAAGAAAUAGUAAGCUCGGACUUAGUUAAAUUUAUAAAACUCAUAUAUAUUCACUAUUGACAUUAUAUUUUCCCUUUUGAGUUCUAAUUAACAUAUUUAAACUUUUCUGAUCUCUUUUAACUUUUUUUUUUAAAUGAGUUUUAUUUUUUCGUUACUUGUAAUAUUAUGACAAGUCUUUUAACUCAAUUGACAGAAUACUUUUGUGAGAUAGAGUACUUGGUGCCGGAAUUUAAUUGUACAUUUACAAAAGUUACACUGUGCAUCAAGCAGAGACAGCAAGCAGAAUCAGUAAAGAGUCCCAACAACGUCAACCAAAAAACAAAAGGAUCCUACAAGGAAAAGCAGCGAUAAAGCCUAUAAGAAUCAGAUCCCUCGACAAUACCCUGGAUGGGGCAAAACCUGAGAGGAGCUCCUAAAAAGUCUCAGGAGCACGGGGCUGAGACAAAGUCUCCCAUCCAAUGAGAAAUGAGCAGAAGACUGAGCAGACACGUGAAAUGCUUUCCAAUUUCCAUGUGCACUCCUUUGUAAUUAUUGGUGAGAGUGGGACAGACACCUCCACGUUUCCCCAACUUGAAUUCCAAUUGCAUCUCCUACCUAACACUUUCUUGUCUCUCUUCAUUUCUUUUCCUUUAUUCUAGUUUUUUUUUUUUUUGGGUAUUAGUUGUGAUGGCUUUGUAGGAUCUAUAUAUUUGUAUGCCACUAUAUAUUUGUCUUAUAUAAAAAAAGAAACUAUAUAUAUUUGUCUUGUCUGCCACUAUUCUUUUCUUUCUUCCGUUAAUCCAUUUUUUAAUUUAUAUUGGUAUGGCAUAGUGUUUUAAUAAUGAAAACUUAUGACAAGUCUUUCUUUAUAAUUGCCGAUUGUCAUGACUCGUGGGCUCAUGGGUAUUUACUGAAAUUUUAAGUCUUUCUUUAUAAUUGAUGAUCGGAAAAAUUUGAAACUUAAUGUGAAAUUAUGGUUAAGAAAAUGUGAGUGAAGUACAGCUCAAUUCAUCCAUUGAUUAUUGUUUGACAAGUUGCAUUAUUGUAUUAACCAUUAAUUUUGUUAGAGUGGUUAAUGACAUCUACUUUAACAAUAAGGGAGAAACCUUAAGUAUCCAUAUGAAUUUAGUCUAAUGUUACAUUGAAACUUUGGAUAUCAAUAUGAAUUUAAUCUAAUUUUAUAUUGAAACUUUAGUAAAGCUAUCUCAUUUGUAUACGUUUAAAAGAAAUAAAAAGGUGCAAGUGGCAUGAGCAAGUGACUAGCAAUAGUAUAUGUUUUAGAUGAAAAAGUUCAUUAAAGAAAAGAGAAGGCUUGCUCUGUUUAAAUCCCCACCCCCUCCCUCCUUUGGCAGAAAAAGCAAAGGUGACCAAUAUAAGAGAGGAGGUUAGACAAAUAUUAACAUUAUUCUUUCAUGGCAUUGAUUUUCACACUGACUUGGUAGAAUGAAAUUUCAGAGAAAUUACGCUGACCAUAUUUUAUUGAUACAACACGAGCUGCAAAUCUUGUACAAAGAAUAAAGAAAGCAUCAACAAUCACAUCAGUUUGGCAUGUUCAAGAGGGAGAGUGAAUUAAGCAUUAGACUUGGAAAGUUCAUUAAAUAACAUACCUUUUGAUCAACUUUCCAUAGUUGGAAAAGCAUAAUUGGAGCGAAUUUAGAAAAGUAAAAGAAUCACAUAUAUAUAUAUAUAUAUAUAUAUAUAUAUAUAGAGCUAUUCAUAAUGAUAAAUAAUUUUAUAUAAUUUGUUAAUCAAUAAAAAAAAUACUUAUAAUAAUCUUUUAAGAAAGUUGUGCUCAGUCAUAUAUAUUUUUUUAUAUUCAAAUUCAUCAAUUUUUGAUUAUGUGUUGAAAAAUAUCGAUUUCUUUAGAAUUGAAUCUUAGACGUUUUAAUUUACAUUACUCUUAUUUUUAAGUUGAAGUGUUGAGACUUAUUGGCUCAAAUGUAACAGAAUCACUUGGACGAUUUGCAUAUUUUUUUUUAAAUAAUUUAUUAAUUAUUUUCAACUUACUCAUACUUAGCCAAACUUCAAAAAAAAAUUAAUACAAUCAAUAUCUAAUAUUCUUAUGGUAUUUCUAUUUAAACUUAUAAUCCUAAAUAUAAAACUAUAAUGCAUAAAAUAUAAAAAUUAAAUAUGAUAUAUCAGAUUAAUAAUUUCCUUUUACAUAAUCAGGAUCGUUUAAAGACUAUAUAUUCAAGAUAAUUUCAUUUCAACUAAAUAUAAAACAUAAAACACAUAAAAAAAUACUCAAGAUAAACUCCUUUUAUAUAAUUAGGANAUAUAUUAAAAUUUAAAAAAUUUUAUAUGAUAUAGAAAAAAUUUUAAAAAUUUGGGGGCUGCUGUGUAAAGGAGAAUAUAUAUACUUCCACAUAGGACCAACUGGCAAAGCAUGAUUAAUUUGUACUAGUAAAUGUCUGGAGAUUGAUGAUUAGCCUUGAUCUGCCAUAAUUCAUUGAAUCACUUUGGAAUGGGGCGGCUCUGAUUUUGCCACCUUUUUCGGUCCAAUGGAAUCAUAAAGUUAGUAAUUAAAGGAGUGAAUGGAAGAGCAAGCCAAAAUAAGGAUGAGUCUUUUGGUCAAAAACCGACAACAGCUUAUUACUAUAUAAUUUUCUUCUUUCCUCUCUUCUAUAAACCAUGAUGGGCAAUGAAAACAGAUUUUAUUUGUUUAAUAAAAUCUCAUGACUUAAGGUGAGCCUUUGUUUGUACUUGAACGGCCGUGAAAAGCUGCGUGCCAGUUUCAUAAAACCCAGUCAGACACAACGUUUCUGCUCAACUCAUCCCUUUUACCUUACUUUAGCGUCCUUUGCUCUUCCAUUUCUCAAAACCCUUUUAUUUUCUUCCUUUGAUCUUCGAUUCUCUUUUCCUUUUCCUUUGUUUUUUUGGCUUGCUCCGUUGUUUCUUUCUCAUCUCUUUUCCCUUCACCUCAAGGUGUCGGCUUCUCACAUUCCUCUACUUUCCACCCAAUAAACCAGAAACCUUUCACUUUGAUUCUUAGUUGCCUCUUUCUUCAUAGCUACAGCUAAUGGAGAAAACCACCGUUUCCAAUUUCUUACCAUUCUGAUUAUUUGCCUUGCUCAUAUCGUUUAUUGAUAUAUUCGUCUUGCUGUUUUCAUUUUUGGGUCUUCUCGAUCCCCUGUUGUCUACUUCUUCUGUCAUUUGCUUUGCUUUUCUGUUGAAUUAAAAAAAUGGAACCUAUUCUUACUGGUGCUGCUGCCAACCUUUCUUCGGAAGCUGCAAAAGGCAUCUUCCAAGAUAUGAAACGUCAUAUCAGAUAUGUAAUCAUUUACAAGAAAAAUGUCGACAAGUUUGAGGAGAAACUUAAGAUGUUGAUAGCAAAAAGAGCAAGUCUGCAGCAAGAGGUUGAUGCUGCAGACAGGAACGGGGAGAAGAUAAAAGCGGACGUCCAACAUUGGAGCAACACAGUGGACAAGGUAAUCAAUGAAGAUGUGAAGAAAAUGAAGGAUCUUGAAGACAAAGCAAAGAACAAGUGCUUCAUUGGCUUGUGUCCCAAUAUCAAGUCUCGCAACCAGCUUAGCAGGAAAGCAGAAGAAGGUGUCGCGACUAUUGACGACCUUAUCCAACAGUGUCAAUUUAACGGAGUGGGAUACCGUGAUGUUCCAGAAGCUAUAUUGGACGCAUCUCCUAAAGACUUUGAGACCUUUAAAUCAAGAGAAAAGGUUUUCAACGAUAUCAUGGAGGCUAUAAAAGACGCUACUAUCAACAUGAUAGGGUUGUAUGGGUUGGCUGGUAUGGGCAAAACAUCACUAGUCAAAGAAGUUGCCAGACAAGUCCAAGAGCUUAAGUUAUUUGAUUCGGUGGUUACCGUAAUUAUGACUCAGACGCCGGACAUUCAGAACAUUCAAGAUCAAAUUGCAGAGUUGUUGGGUCUAAGACUUGAAGACAAGAGUACGGUUGUAAGAGCACAUAGAUUGUGCGAAAGGUUGAAAAAAGGGAAGAAGGUUCUUGUUGUUUUAGAUAAUGUUUGGAAGAAAUUGGACCUCGAGGAAGUUGGAAUUCCAUUUGGAAACCAACACAAGGGAUGCAAGAUAUUGUUGACAUCAAGAGAUCAAAAUGUUCUCUCCAAUGGGAUGGAUGCUGAGAAAACUUUUUCAAUUGGUGAUUUAGACGAUGAAGAAGCUUGGGACUUGUUUAGGAAGAUGGUUGGGGAUAGUGUUGAAAGUGCUGAGUUGCGAUCUACAGCAAUUGAGGUAGCCCAAAGGUGUGCAAGAUUACCGCUGGCCAUUGCAACAGUUGCAAGGGCAUUGCGAAAUAAAAGUUUAUUUGCUUGGGAGGAUGCUUUACGGCAACUACAGAGGCCUUCCUCAAGCAACUUCACUGGGAUAUCCGCUGACGUAUAUUCAGCUAUAGAGUUGAGUUACAAUCAUUUAGAAAGUGAUGAACUUAAACAAACUUUCCUACUUUGCACUCUACUGCGCCAUGAUUCAAGCAUUGAUUACUUGUUGCAAUGUGCGAUUGGUUUGGGUUUAAUUAAUGGUGUCAGCACCGUGAAGGAAGCACGGAAUAGGUUGUUAACACUGGUGAGUAACCUCAAAGCCUCUUGUUUGUUACUUGAUAAUAACCUCAAUGACCGUUACUUUGAUAUGCAUGAUCUUGUUUAUGAUGUCGCCGUGUCAAUCGCUUCUAAGGACAAUCAUGUCUUUGCAUUAAACGAGGAAGUUCUGGAAGAUUGGCCAAAUGGAGAGAAAAUGAACAAGAUUUAUUUGCGAUAUCCUAGUAUAAUUGGAGAGCUUCCUUCCGAGUUGAAUUGUCCAGAGGUUGUUCUUUUCAUUUUCUUUAGCGAAGAUCUUUCCCUCAAAAUGCCACCUAGCUUCUUUAACGAAACAAAAAAUCUUAAAGUCUUAGAUUUGAGUGAUAUGCAAUUUUCUUCUUUACCUUUGUCAACUUGUCUCUUAACAAGCCUUCGUGCAUUGUUCCUGAAUCGAUGUGAAUUGAGAGAUAUAACCAGUAUUGGAGAACUUAAGAAUUUGGAAAUUCUUAACCUUUCAUAUUCUGAUAUCAAAAUUCUACCUAAGGAUAUUGGGCGACUGGUUAAAUUAAAACUGUUAGAUUUAAGUCAUUGUACUAAACUCAAAAUAAUUUCACCAGGUGUCUUAUCAAGCUUGUCUAGAUUAGAAGAAUUAUAUAUGGGUGGCACCUUUAUUCAAUGGGAAGUAGGGGGACAUGCCAACCAACGAGGCAGUAUUGCUAGUCUUGCUGAAUUGAAUACUCUGUCUUGUUUGACCACUUUAGAAGUCCAUAUUCCUGAUGCCGAGGCCAUAUCAAGGGGCUUGCUCUUUAAAGAGUUGCACAAGUUGAUCAGAUACCAGAUUUUCAUAGGAAAGGAAUGGGAAUGGUUUGGUGAGUAUGAGCAUUCAAGGACUCUGAAACUCAAGUUAAGUACAAGUAUUGAUCAUUUGGAUCAUGGAAUUAAGUUGCUAUUGAAGAAAACUGAAGCUUUAUAUUUAGAUGACCUUAAAAGUGUCACGAUUGCAAUGCAAGAGUUCAAAGAUGAAGAAAGCUUAUCGCAUUUGAAGAAUCUCCAUAUCCAAAAUGAUUCAGUGAUCAAAUAUAUCAUUAUUGAUAAUGGUAUAGUUGAUAAAAAUGAAUUUCUUCAAUUACAAUCUUUGACACUUCAAAAUCUACCUCAGCUCAUUAGUUUUUGUUCUGAAGAUGAAAACGGCUCUACCUCCAGGGUUCAAGAUGAGUUGCCUCUAUUUAGUGAAAAGGUAUUUAUUACUUUUCAUUUUUCACUCAUUCUAAAGCAUAUGUUGAUCUCAUUUAUUAGUUUCUUAAAAUUUUCUUCUUAUGAACAGCCAACGUUCUCAAAUGUUAAAUUAGUAUUAUUUUAGAAUCUCUCUCCUUCGCUUUUUUGCUAAUUGAUCUUCAAUAUCUAUUAUGAGUAAAAACAUACAUUGAAUAUCUAUUUUAAAUUUGACACUCUACAAUCCGUUUAUAAAAAUUGUCUAGUGCUAUACUGAUCCUUUGUUAAAGUUUUAUGCAAGAGCCUAGCAUAAUUGUAAGAUGAGUGAGGGCAUAGUUAGAGAUCUUAGGUUUGAGAUUUUGUUCAUGCAGAUAAAUAAAUUUCAAUAUAUAUCUACAUUCUAAAAAAAAACUGAUGCCUUCUCCUCCAUUUAAAAAAAACAGGUUGCCACAUUGUGUGAAAGCCAUUUCCUUUUGUUUCCAUUUUUCGCUACCAUCCACGAUUGAUAAACCGAACCAUGUCAUAGUGCCCAUUUCAAAGCCUGAACAUCAACAAAACCCACUUCAGUGAUUGUUUAAUACAUUAGAAAUCACUUCUCCGUAAAAUGGAAGUAAUUAUUUCUCCUGAACUCAGUUGCCAUUGAAUUGGCAAACCCAUUCCUUCCUUUUUAAUCAUAGAAUGUUAUGUAAUUAUGCUAAAUAAGCUAGUCUUUCUUCUGUUGUCUUUUUCUUUUUUUUUUUUCACACAAUUUUUAAUCUAGAUUAAUUACUUGUCUGCAGUCGUUGUUCCCUUGCUUGGAGAAUUUGCGGUUGUCCUCAAUUAGUGUUGAAAGGAUAUGGCAUGAUUCUUUCUGCAAUCAUGAGAAUUUGACAAGUUUGAUCAUCGAGAAUUGUGGCAACUUAAAACGUUUAUUAUCAUUUUCUAUGUCUAGGAAGCUAGUGCAUCUCAAAUGCUUUGAGAUAAUUGGAUGCAAGUGCCUAAGAGAGAUAAUUUUUGCAGAGGAUAUAGAGGAAGAAAGCAAAGAUACGAUUUUAUUUCCUCAAUUAAACUCUCUAAAGUUACAAGAUCUUCAGCAUCUCAUUGGAUUUUUGUUAGAACGUCGGAAUAUUGAAUUUCCGUCCUUGAAGUCACUAAAGAUAGAGAAAUGCCCAGAACUAAAGGGGUUCAUAUACGAAUCUACAAUGGAAGGGAGCCAAAAUUUUUCUAGUCAAGUUCUCUUUGACGAAAAGGUAGAGUAUUGUUAGCAUUCUUUAUUAUCCAUGUUUUCCCAUUGCCAUGCUUUUGGCCUUGAUUAUAGGAACAAAUGCUUCUAAACAUUUCAUUAAUUGGCAUGAAUUAAUUACAUACAGGUUGCAUUUCUUAGUUUGGAGAAAAUUUCUAUUUCCAAAUUGAGAAACAUGAAGAUGAUAUGGAAGAACCAACUCGCUGCGAAUUCCUUUCACAAACUACAGGAAAUGGAAGUUGAAGAAUGUGACCAGCUACUGACCAUUUUUCCAUCUAAUAUGUUGAGAGCAUUUCAAGGACUGCAAACUCUAACAGUUCAUAAAUGUGUUUCGGUAGAAGAAGUAUUUGAAGUCGGAAGCUCAAAUAUGGAAGAAACAGGUGCUGUCACCAGUCAACUAAGAGAGUUGCAUAUUUGGCAUCUACCAAGCCUCAAGAAUAUUUGGAAGAAUGAUCCCAAAGGAAUUUUUACAUUUGAAAAUCUGCGGGUAAUAAGUGUUUGGGAUUGUUGCAGUCUGAAGAAUGUAUUUCCAGCCUCAGUAGCCAGAGUUCUUCCACAACUUAGAGAUCUUCACAUAAAUGAUUGCGGAGUGGAAGAAAUUGUUUCCAAGGAGGAAGGAUUGGAAACAACUGUCACUUUCAGGUUUGAUCAAGUAUGCUACCUUCGUCUUUGGCAGCUACCAGAACUCAAAUGCUUUUACCCGGAGGUACAUACGACAAAGUGGCCAAUGUUAAAAAAGUUAAAAGUAUUUGGCUGUGACAAAAUGAAGAUAUUUGGUACAGAACGUCUCAGCAUCUCAGAUAUGGCUAAAGUCGAUGGACAACUUGAGUCCACUUUAAUCCAACCACCGCUUUUGUUGGCUGAAAAGGUAUGCAUGUGCCUCCACCUCCACUCUUUCUCAACUGAUUAAGAUGCUAACGUGUACGUGAAAAUCAAUUUAACAGGCCCUUGUAAUGUACUAGCUAUAUUUCCAACUUUUUAUUAACAAACUAGAGUGCCAAAAAUAAACAUCAUUUUAAUCAAAUGUGAUCUUACAAAAAAUCAUUAAAUACAACAAAAUCAAAUUUUUAUUAUUGUUAUUAUUUUUAUAGGAAAUUGCAUAUGUCAAUGACUAGCUAGUUGAAUUUAUAUAAAUUAAGUGGUAUGUAAUACUUUAAAAAAAAAAAAUCACUUCCAUGUUUUGAUUUCACUCACAAAUACAGACGAUAACUUCAAAUUUGCUAGUUUCAAAGAGAAAAAGCAAAAAAAUAGUGUUACAUUAAACAUUUAGUCACUUAAUGUUUCAAAAAUUUCUAUUUAGUCGUUCAACUUUAAAAAAUUCUUAUUUUGAUCACUUAAUUGUCUGAAAAAUGUUAGUCAAUCAUUACCUUUUUUAAAGACAAAAGUCAACCAUUGGCUUCUAACAAUUGAAUGGUAAACAUUAACUUUUACAAAUUUGAUAACCAAAUUGUGAUUAUUCAAAAUUAAAUGACCAAAAUAAAAUUUUAUGAAAAGUUAAGUGACUAAAUGCGUAAUAAAAAAUGGAGUAUAUAUACCUUGUUUGAGUAUAAAUAAAAAGAAGUAUUCCAAAGUUUCAAAUGUAAUCUGAGUGUAUCAAGACUUGCGCAAUAAUUUUUAUUAGUACAAUAAUUUUUGCAUUGUUGAAAGAAGAACAUUGACUCCAAAACUGUUACUUUAUUGGUUUUCAGGUCAUCCCUCAAUUAGAAAAAUUGUCAUUAAAUAUUGAUGACAUUAAUGCAAUGAUAAGUGAUAGUCAAUUUUCAAGAAGCCUUUUUCGUGAAAUAAAAGUUCUUAGGGUGUGCAACUCUGGUGAUGAAUCUGUUGUUUUCCCAAUUACUUUCCUAGAAAGAUUUCAAAAUCUAGAAAAGCUUGUGGUGAUUUCUUAUGAAUUCAAAGAGCUGUUCUGCGAUGAAAGAGAUAGUGGUAUGGAGACAUAUGCUGGGACACUGCCCACGAUCAGAAGCCUAAAAUUGAUUUGUCUUGAUAAUCUCAAACAUUUAUGGAAGCAGGACGUACAAGUAGACCGCAUUCUCCCUAAUCUGGAAACUCUUCAAGUCCACCAGUGUGACGAACUUAUUAGUUUAGGAUCAUCCUCAGCAUCGUUUCAAAAUCUCUUGACGUUGGAUGUGUGUAGCUGUGGCGCAAUGAUAUGCUUAGUUACAUCUUUAGCAGUCCAAAGUCUGGCGCAACUCAAAAAAUUGAGGAUAAGACAGUGCAUUUCCAUGAAGGAAAUAGUUGGAAAUGAGGGUGAUGAAGCAACAUACAACAUUAAUUUCAGCAAGUUGAAAAGUUUGGAACUCUGUGAUUUACCACAAAUUACAAGCUUUUGUUCAGGCAACCAUACAUUUGGGUUCCCAUCUUUAGAAGAAGUAAUUAUGAACAAAUGUCCCGAAAUGGAGAUUUUCUGUAAGGGAGUUUUAAAUGCGCCAAUGCUGGAAAGAGUACAAGUAACAGACAAAGAUGGUAAGGGACACUGGGGUGGUGACCUUAACAGCACUGUCCAACAAUUGUACGCCGAAAAGGUACUUGCUCAUUUUAAUUUAUCUAACCAAUUAGUUGUCUUUGUAAGGCUUUUUUUGUUUGUGGAUGCUUUUGUUUGCUUAAUUUGACUUAGGGUUUCUAUUUUUUUUUUUUUCGUUUUUGUGGUUACCCAUGAACUUAAUCGUUCCUUUUUUGUUGGAUUUUGUAGGUUGGAUACAAAGGAGUGGAGUAUGUAGUACUCUCCGAGUUUUCUAAGUCAACAGAAAUAUGGAAAGAGAAUCCUGAAGGAGUUUUCAAUUUCGUAAAUCUUACAUAUUUGGAAGUUUACAAGUGUAAGAGCUUGAAGUACAUAUUUACUGUUUCUAUGGCUUUGGAUCUUCUGCAAUUGAAGGAGAUAAAAGUAAGAAAUUGCCCUAUGAUGGAGCAAAUAAUCACAAGAGAAGGAGCAGAGGAAGCAUCAAUCGUGUUGCCCAGGCUUCAGUCUAUAACUCUUAGGUCAUGUUCCAACCUGAGGAGCUUUUCUUUGGGAAGUAUUACAAUGGAAUGUCCAUCUUUGCAAUGUAUCGAUGCAGUUAAUUGUUCAAAAUUGUUAGCAUUGGCAUCUACAUUUGUAGGAGAGAAGGAUACAGAGACAGUCGCAGCCUUUUUCAAUGAUAAGGUUAGUCUCUGCAUGGUUUCUUCACAUUUAAAACGUUUUUCUUUCCGAAGUUUAACUUGUUUAUUUUGUCUGCUAAUAAUAGGCAAAUUUAAAUUCCAUUAUAAGAAUCAAAGUAAAGUUUUUGAUGCAAUAAGGAUUAUGUAUGUAGGUUGUGUGUCCAAAUUUGGAGAUUGUGCGACUAUCCUCAAUUGACGUUCAGAGAAUAUGGGAUGACCAACUUCCUGAAAUGUCUUCUUAUGUUCAAAAUUUAAAACAAUUGACUGUCAGGGGCUGUAGAAAUCUAGAAGAAGUUAUCUUUAUAGAAGGAUUACCAGAAGAUGGCAUGUUGAGCCAAAUAUUCCCUAAACUAGAAAUUUUGCAAUUCAUAGGCCUUCCCAAACUCGCAAGAUUCUGCCAUGGAAGUUACUUUGAAUUCCCCUUGUUAAGACAGCUUAUAAUGAAGAACUGUCCUGCAUUGAAGACAUUCAUCUCCGAUUCUACGGUGACAAACGAAACUCUUAUUUGUCAAAAAGCGAAAGGAAACAACUCAGAUAUUGAUUCCCCUCCUCUCUUUAGUGAAAAGGUGAUUACUCCAUUUGUCUUUUCUUUAUCACUCUUCUUUUCUUUUUUUUUUAUGUAUCCUCAAGUUUUAAAUGUUUGAUUCCCCUUUCCUUUGUUACAUUUUUUCCUUGUUAUUUAGUUGUUGAACAUGAAGAUCUAUGAUCUGCAAUAUUAUUGACACAAUCAAUAAAUUUAGCAGGUGGCUUUCCCUCAAUUAAAGAAAUUGGGAAUCGUAGGGAUGGCAAACUGCAGAAAGAUAUGGCCUGAUCAACUCGUUGGUUAUUCAUUUUGCAAGCUAAAUGAUUUGUGGGUGUACGAAUGCAAUCGACUGUUGAGCAUUUUUCCACUUAAUAUGAGGGCAAGACUCCAGAAUCUAGAGGAGUUCCGAAUAAGAGAAUGUGAUUCAUUAGAAGAAAUAUUUGAACAUGAAGUGCUCAAUACCAACGACUUACAUUCAGUGACUGCCACUCAAUCCAUUGCGGAAGAAACAACCACCAAUUUUGUAUUUCCUAAACUAACAUACUUGGAACUUUAUAUGCUGCCCAGAUUGAGGAGUUUCUGCUCUACGAUACAUACUACGGAGUGGCCAUCAUUAAAGGAAAUGUGGAUAUAUGGAUGUGACAAAGUGGAGAUAUUUGCUUCAGAAAAUAUUCGGAGCUUUGGAGAAUCAACAAAUCAACAAGCCCUGUUUUGGGUAAAUGAGGUAUUUGAACACAAAACUAUGUUAAACUUUUAAACAUUUGGUAUGCUCUUGAUUUUCAAUGUUGAGUCAAAACUCAAUCAAAUCCAGAUGGAUUUGCUUUUUUUUUUUUUUCUUAUAAUUCUCACAAGCAUGUCUCAGUAUUGCUCCAAUAUUGUAGCUUGCACAUAAGAUUUAUGUUAAAAUAACUAUAUUCACUCAAUUAAGGUGUUCUCGUCUUGCUUAACUCAUAUAGAUGCAUCAUAUGGCACUUUUAGAUUAGGUUUUAAGGAGUGUUUCGAAAAAGAUAAAUUAGAUGAGACAAAUUCAUGUACAUAAAAAUUUGGUAUUAGGCAAUUUGUCAGAAAGAAUUUUUCUAUACAAUGAUAUUCAGAAAACUCAAGCAAUAUAACAUUUGAAUUGUGUCUCCAUCAUUCUUAUGUUGCAUUCCCACCAUAACAUACACAGUGUGUCUCACUGUUGGCUUCAAGAGCUUAGUUUGUAGAAUAAAUGAAACAUUGACAUCUUUAACUUUAGUCUAACACAUUUGUUAAUUUCCAGGUUACAUUUCCCAAUCUGGAAGAAUUAAAAUUGGAGUGGAAUGACAUUAUGAAAGAGAUAUGGCAUGGACAACUUAGAGCAAACUUUUUCUACAAACUAAAAGUUCUUGAGCUCAUUCACUUUCCUGAUCAAUCAGCUGUUUUCCCACAUUGUUUUAUUCAGUCAUUACCAAAUUUAGAAAAGCUUGCUGUUAGUGAAGCUUCCUUUAGUCAUAUAUUCCAUUUUGAAGGAUUUGAUGGUCAGAAAAAUCAUGCAUCGGCAAUCACUUCGUUGAAUGAAUUGGUGCUGUCUGAACUUCCUGAGCUAACACAUCUUUGGAAGGAAGAAUACCACCCCAUACCAGCUUUCUGUGAACUGAGAACUCUUCAAGUGCGGGAUUGUGGCAAAUUAAAGAUUUUAGCGCCAUCAUCAGUGUCUUUUGAAAAUUUAACAACUUUGGAAGUUUCAAGAUGUCAUGGAUAUGUGAAUUUGAUAGCAUGCUCAACAGCUAAGAGCCUAGUGCAACUCUCAAGAAUGACCAUAACUGAUUGUGAGAUGAUAGAGAAAAUCAUAGCAUGUGAGUCUGAGGAAGUGAAAGGAGACAUUGUUUUUACUGAACUGAAGUAUUUGCAACUAAGUUGUCUACCAAAUAUGGCUAGCUUCUGCUUAGGGGAUCACAACUUGGAAUUCCCUAUCUUGGAGAAAAUGAUUGUGAGAAAAUGCCCAAAGAUGAAGAUUUUCUGCCAAGGAGAUUUAAGCACACCACAACUCCAAAAAGUGAUAUUGACAGAAGAUGGAGAUGAAGAAAAUGGGCAGUGGGAAGGCGAUCUUAAAACUACUAUAAAACGGAUGUUUGAAGAAGAGGUAAGUAUCAAUUUAAAAGUUAUUCUUAUGUUGCUUUGGUUUCUUAUUUUGAUUUUUCAGUAGCAUGCGUUAGCUUUUCCUUGUCACCCCAUACUUAUUAAAAGGUUGCUCAAAUGAGGAAACCAUACUAAUAUGUAAAGUAAAGCUGUUGCAGAAUUAAUUAGUUCAUUAAUUUAGCAUAGAGCUUCUAACUAUUUUCCUUUUUAUAAUGAAAAUUUACUAUAAAACUGUAGUUUUGGUGCUUUUCAUUAAUUUAAGGAACUCUUG